UAAACCUAACCAUAGCAUGAAACAUUGACACGGCACAUUAUAAAGAGUUCAAUCCAAAUUUUAUAGUAACACUAUUAUAUUUAAAUAGUGAUUAUUCUAACACAUGGAUAAUUAAUUAAGGCACCAGGUUGCGCUUGUGACCAGGAAAGACAAACUUAUGAACUUGCAAGCAUGGUAAUCAGAUCGACAUCCACACAAUGUCAAUAUGAACAUUGUCUUGAUACAACUUUAUUUGUAUUUUAUUUCAGAAUUUAAACAACUAGUUUGGGCGGGUCACACACGACGUUGUGUGACACUUUAUUUGUCACCGCUGCAUCGACAUAUCCAUCGACUAAACAACGGUGAUCCAACUAUAUAUUACUAGAGACCUUUCCUUAUCAGUAGGCACCAACUCCGGUGCCAACGCUGAAUGGCACACUAGUGGUGGUUCUAUACAAGGGCACAUUGACACGGCACAUCGUUGGCAGGGUACGGAGCGCAAUGGAAGUCAUCACCUCAAGCUGAGCUAUCUGGUGUGGAUGCAAAAAGGUACCCUGUGCCAAUUGUUGUUGUUGAGGUUGUUGCCCGAGUUGCUGCUGCGACUGCUGUUGGGGUUGGGAAACGCAUUGGCCCAACUAUUGCGGUUGCUGCUGCUGAGUUUGGAUGGAACCCUGAACCUGUUGUUGUUCUUGCAGGACGAUGGAGUAGAUGAUAGCACGGAUUGCCUCAUAGCGGGAUUGCUGGGGGAUUUGCGGCAACUGCUGGCAACAUUGUUGUUGCAUCACAUGGCAACUGCUCUGCUGCAACAUUUGCGACCUAGCAAGACUUUGUGGCAUUGCCACAGGGCUGCAUUGCUGCUGGAGGAAUACCUUGCAUGGGUUUAGUUGCUGCAAGAUAGAUGGAUGAACAAAUGGUAUUUGUUGUUGCGGUAGAACUGAUUGUUGUUGUUGCGAAAAUGGUGGUUGUUGCGGUAGUACUGGUUGUUGUUGUUGCGAAAAUGGUGGUUGUUGCUGUGAAAAUGGUGGUAGUUGUUGCUGCGAAAAUGAUGGUUGUUGCGGUAGAACUGGUUGUUGUUGCUGCAAAAAUGGUGGUUGUUGCUAUGAAAAUGGUGGUUGUUGCGAUAGAACUGGUUGUUGUUGCUGUGAAAAUGGUGGUUGUUGCUGUGAAAAUGGUGGUUGUUGUUGCUGUGAAUAUGGUGGUUGUUGUUGCUGCGAAAAUGGUGGUUGUUGUUGCUGCGAUAAUGGUGGUUGUUGUUGUUGCUGUGAACAUGGUUGCUGUUGUGGAAAUGGUUGUGGUUGUUGUUGGAUAGGUUGUUCUUGUUGUUGGUGCCAUAAUGUUUGUUGUGGUGGUAAUGGUUGUUGCUGCGAUGGUCUCUCCAAACCAGGGAUGUGGCUAUUCUCCAUUUGUGCAAUGGCACUUGUCGCCGCAACGGCGAGGAGGGCAAAGAUGAGGAAGGUCUUCAUGGUGGAUUGGUGUUAACUAGUGUUGCUUGGUUUUGAUGCUUGUGCUUGUGACGAUCUUUAUACUUCAUGCCUAUUUAUAGUAGCCCGGGCACCACCUUUUUCUUCUUUGCAUUAGCUUUAAUAAUUUUGUUUGGAUGCAAAAAUGAUUUUUGGUACAAUGUGUUAGGUUGCACUAGCUACACGCGUACUUUUGGAUUGAUCAUCAAAGUUGCUUUUUAGUUGUGCAUAUGAUCACACAUAAAGUACAGAAACCUUGAUGUUUGGUAUAUAUGACUCACCUUAUUCACUUUACAUGUCACACACUUAUCUGGAUAGUAUCACUUUUGCAACCGAGUUUGGAACCUUGUAUAGGCUGUCAUCCAUAAACAAGAAAGGCAAAACUUGUGUAGGACUAAGUGUAGAACUAACUUUGUAUUUUUCCUCUAAAAUGAUUAGAUGAACCGACGCCUAUAGAGCAUGACAUGACUCAUCGAAUUCCCUUUACAUGUAAAGGAUGGUAAUUGCUUACAAGCUACUCCUACUAGCAUAUAUCCGGUCCUAACUCUUGACACGUCAUCAUCAGUUUCGCCUAUUUUUUUAGAUAAAUCAUCAGUUUCAUCUAUUUGUGAAGGGUUUUUUUGGGGGAAAUGAUAGUUUUUUUAUGCUAGGGGGAUUUUUUUGGGGGGGGGGGAUGACGCUAGGGGGAAAUGAUAGAUGGGGCUGGAACAGAGGCCCCCAGCCUGGAGCGAGAGAUUAGGCCCAACAUAAGUGCCGUGUGUUAGGGCACCAAUUCGAUUUGGGCUAUAGUUCUCGUAGGCCCCAACGACACAAGCCCAGCCCACACUCCGCGGAUCUGCGUCCCUCCCUUCCUCGUCCUCCUCGCCGGCCGGACCGCUCGCCGUCGCAGCCUCUCCCGGACGCCCACCGCUCGCGGCCCCUCCACGUACCUCCGCGGCAGCGGAGACGUCAGCCUCCCUCCCACCCUCAACAUCCGGCCCCCCACCACCACCACCACCGCUCGACAAAAAAGGUCACUUUUGAAGCUCCUCCGUCGAUUGUGGGCCGUACGUCGACGGCAGCCACUCCGACCUCCCCAUCAACACAAGGUAUCGAUUUGUUUCGUCUGUCUCUUCCAACGAUUCAAUGCACAUAAAUCCGAGAGGCAGACCCAUCUCCAUGCUAGCUGCACGGAUUAGGAGGGUCAGGCAUCAGAAUUCAGCUGGGAAGCCUGACAGUAAUGUACAUUUGUGGCUUUAGUAGCUGAAUAUAACUAUGUGCUUUCUGAGAAUUUCACUUCAAAAGUUCCAAUAAUCAUCAAAUUUCCCCCUAUGCGCGCUAAGCAGGUGGACCAUAUAUUUCUCAUGUCGACGAACGAAAAAACAAAACUCCACAACUAGAAGUCUAUGAUAUUGACACGGAACCGUGCUGUAGGGUCGCAAGUAAAAAUAUGAAAAGCAUGCCUAAUAAGCGAGAUGACGCAGUUCCUGACCGCCCCGCUACGACUAUUGGUUCCAGCGUGGCGUUUGAAUUAUGCCGCGCUAGAUGUCUUUUGUCCGGCGAGGAACAAGUGGGGUCAAGCGUGCUUCGGCAAUUCCCGCCGUCAGAAGACUUCCUUGUAGUCCGGUGUAGAGGUGAGGUUGUGGGGAGAUACAUCGACUAGCACUACUAGGGAAAAGGCUAGCAGCAGCGCGGGUUUUAGAUGUAUCAGUAGUGCGGGUACCCGCGCUACUAAUACGGCGCUACAGCUAACUCAUAGCAGUAACGCGUGAGCACCCGCGCUACUGCUACACAAGUGUAGCAGCAGCGCGGUUAUGAGAAGCUCGCUACCGCUAGUAGCGCUAGCGCUCUUUGGCCGGACGCUCUACUGCUAUUGAGGCGCUGCUGCUAACUUUUGUACACUCGCUACUGGUAAUUUAAGUAGUUUUUUGGCAUAUUUGUUUUGUAUUUGAACCGGCUUUGUAGAAGAAUCUUUAGCACAUAGAAAUGUCAUCAUGAUACACAUACAAAUGCCUGCGAGACCACAAAUGUAAUCAUAGCAUGUACAUACAAAUAGUCUCUUCAUAAUCAUCAUCCAACACAAAGUGAUAUCUUGUCAUCAUCUCGAAAAUAGCAAUACAUGCAAGUCUCGAAUACUUGCAACUACAACAACGUCAUCCAUCUAAACAAAGGUAUACGCAAGAAGUGCUAUCACUAUGAGUGAGAGCGGAACCAUGCAGUACAUGAGGUGGCGGUUAUGAGUCCUCUCUUGCGCUAGCGUGAACCUCAAGUAACUAGCUUCUCCUUCUUGUCUGCUUUUGAAGCCUUUAUGGCUGGCGCCCGUGAACCCAUUCACUUGCGCCUGACACUCAUGCCACUCGUUGUACACCCCCGGAACCUUCCCUUUGUACACGACAUAGCAUUUCCAUCUCGCCAUCAAGAAACUAGGUACCUGUUAGAGAUGCAUGUUCAUGAAGAGGAUGUACAAUCAUAUAUAUGCAACAAAAUAUACUAGAGCAACACUAAGAAAGAAAGGUUAGCAACUAGAUGCAACAUAUACAUUACGCAAAUUAAUUAACUAGAGGUACGCAGGUCAUCGUACGCAAACUAACAAAGUAGCGUUACGCAAGUUUGGCAGGGACCAUGGACAUCACAAAGUUUCAUCGCUACAAAAAGUAUACAAGUUCAACCGACACAUAUCAUCAUCAUCGGCAUCAUAAAUCACUAGAAGUUCCAUCCUUCCAUAUCAUCGAGGACGAACCCUAGCUGCUUGAACGGCGUGAGGUCUAGACGUUGCAUGCCUAUGCGAGUUCGGACGUCAGCUCGCGAUAUAGGGCCGUGGUGGAACAUCCCCUUCUCAUCGACGACUUCUUUCAUGAUGAUCAUCGCAAUGUCGCUUUGGAUGCGAAAGAAGUCAUCUCUAAGUUUAUAAUUCGCUUCUCCAUGAGAUUCUAGCCACUUGUGGAUAUGAUCAUCAUUUCUGCUGUUAAUGCGAAGCUUUUGGUGAUCCGUGUUGAACUGAAUCAUGAGAUGGACGAUGUAGAAUCCAUCCUUCUUGCUUGGUUUUGGGACGUGGAUGCAGGAGAAGUUAGUUUUAUGCGCGAAACCCAUCUUCUUGUUCCUUUGUUUCCUGAUAUGCACGUGGCCACCUCUAAAGUUGAAGCCUUGGAGAGCAUCAUCUAGAAUAUUCAUUAUGUGGGUGUAGUCCUUUUUCUCGUAGUCUCUAGAAGGGUCAAAAUACACGGCGUGGGAGACUUGCGGGUAAAGAAUGAUAAGGACGGCGCGCCCGUUGCUGCGGGGAAAAGACACCUCAAAUUAUUCCCCAUAUGAGAGAGAAGGAAUGAUUGAAAUGUACGAAAGGGUUGUCCGGAACUGACUUACUUUGGAUGAUAAGGCACGAGGACAAUUUCCCGGUCCUUAUUCUGUACCAUGAAGUUUUGGAGGUACUCCCUAGCAGUUUCACGCUCAAAGUCGCCGAGACUCAAGAAAGACUCGUGCAUGUAGUACGGAUCCGCCACACAGAUUUGCGAGACUUCUUCACUCUUCACGACGGAGCUCAUAUGUAGCGCAAAAAGGCGGACGAUAGUAAAAUCAAGCCGCCUUGUUAGAAACAUCUCAAAGAUAUGGUCAAACCGCAGGAAGAACACCUCCGUGGGCCGUGUGUCGACGUAGCACUUCCCCUCAGGCACACGAGCUGCGUAUGUCGGAUAUCCUGGAUCCUUUGAGGCUAGUAGGCUUUUCUCAGUCGACAGCACGUGGUCGUGCAGUCUCCUGAGAUUCCCUGAUAGUGCCUCCAGCGGUUUCGGCGGUAGCAUCGGCUCGCCCGUGAGAUGGAACAUGACCGCACCUUUCACGGGUACACGCUCUUCAGAAUGCAUCGUCUGGCUGCUGUGUGCUCUGGCUUGUUUGGAGGCAGUUACCUUCCCCAAUCUCUUCCUCUCCUUUUUCUUGGGCACACCUUCCAGACCCUUCCUUAACCCCUGCCCAAGUGUUCCCGGGCUAAGUAUUGUACGACCCUCACGCCCGGCUAGUUGAGCCUGUGUUGAGGCGGCAUCUUCAGGCGUGUCCUGUGAGGAUUUCAUGAAGAGAGACUUUUUGCAUUCCAUGGUACGGCCCUGCCCGGGCAUAUCAUCCAUAUCCUCAUUAGCAAGCUGAUAGCCCGAUUCGUCAUAUGGUUGACUCAUCAUAUCUAUGUCACAGUCAUACGCGUUUGUAUUGAGGUAAUCCAUCGGGUCGACCUCCGUCUCAUCAUCCAUUCUCUGUUCUACAGGAGAAAUUACAUCAGCCAGUACUAUUGCACCCCCUUCAUCAUGUCGUCCGCCGCUCUCACACGGCACUACUACAGGAGCUGGUAAUUGCGUAGGUGGGGUGGUGGUCUCCGCACAUGCUUGCUGAUGUGUGGUAGUUAUUGGUGUGCUCUCGGCCGGCUCCAGACGAAUAAGAUUCUUCGGCCAUAGCAGCACCCAACCCUUGCAGCGUCCAAUCCGCGGCGGGGUCUCGUCGUCCGCUCCCACCUGCUGUACUGGAGGAGGCAAAUCCUCGUGCCCCGAUUUCACACUGGUCAAGCUAACCCUGAAGUGCCCAGCGGGGAUCGGCUGGUUGUGGAAUGUGCGUUGAGAGGGGUCCAUUAUCAUCCCCUUUCCCACGUCCACCUUCUGGCCUUUGAUCAAGUAGAGUAUGGUGCAUGGGGUUUCUUUCGCCUGCAAACACAUAUGUCUGUGGUGUAAAACAACCGAAAGGCAACAAAAAUGGAAUAUUAUAUAUAUAUAUAUGUUGGUGCGACAUGUAAUUACCGUGACGGCGUCGAGCUCAGCCAAAGACGAAGGCCCACCUAGCGCGCCUGAGACUGAGGACGGGCUGCUAUGAGCUGGAGCGGCUGCGAGAGGAGGCCCGGUUGCUUGAGCAAGUGAUGGUGCGAUGGUGUUGUUCAUGGAGUUGCUCGCGACGAAACUGGGCAUUGGGAAAUCAUGUACCGUCUUGUCUGGAUUUUCCUUCGCCCAGUUGAUGAUAACUGGAACCAAGUUAGUAGCGAAAUCAUUUCUGCAGGCAUUUACAGCUGCAUUGACUGCCUGCUGUAGCAACUCAUAUUUGUCCUUGGCUGCUUUUUUCGCGUCCUCGGCUGCUUUUUUCUCGACCGCAAGCUUCACCUUUGCGUCGAUGUCCGCCUAACUAAACUUCUUUUUCUGCUUCUUGGCCUCCGGGCCGUCGUUGUAAAACACCUUCCACGUGGCGCCGUCUCCAGCGCCGUGCACACGACCAUAUUGCGGCCGCUGGUCCAACGGGAGUCCCUUAAGUUCGUUCAAGGCCCAGUUGAGAGGUGUGUCCCACUUGGGCCUCAUCGGAGAAGUAGGGCUUUCGGCUGCAAGCCGGUGUUGCUUCUCCAGUAGUCUAAUCAAUUUCCUCGUGAUCUUGUCCGUGUAAAAAACCUUUUUCUCCUUGUCCCACUUGUAGCGGGCCCUGAUGAAGUCAUGCUCCAAGGGGUUGGUGAACUUCGCGAAGGGGUCUGGGAGACCCGCGGCUUCACGUUCCGCGUCCUCCUUAUCCCAUAUGGGCCUUUUACCGAGGUAGCCACGGCUUCCGAGGCGAUGCUUCCCCAUGUUCCGGAGCUGAAGGCUUUUGAAUUUCGCAGCCUUAGCCUUGGCUGCCUUGGUAGCGCAAGUGUCCUUGAACUUUUCGAACUCCUCUUCCGUAAGUGUCGGAUUUUCCUCCAGAAUCUUGGACAGGGGUUCAUCAGCCUCAAUAGCUCGUUUCACCCUCCCUUUCCAGGAGGCCAAAUCAUUGCUGAACAUGCCCAUGGCGUGAUUGUUAAUCUUUUUCAUCUUCGGAUCAUCCCACGGUUGUUCUAUGUUAUCAUCCCGGUCGGGGAACUUGAAUCUCUUCUGCAACUUCGUUAGGAGCAACUGCGUCAAAUGUUCUUUACUCCUUAAGUCAUCAUCGUUGAUGCUCGCGCAUUCCCGUAGGAUGCAUCCUACUUGGUUCCCAUAGCACUUGCGAGGUUCUUCCGGCUCUAACGGCUCAAACUUUCCAGGUGCCAUCUUUGUGAUCACAAGUCGUCCAAUCCCUAGUUUGUUAGGUUUUCGUAUCCUCUGCUUCUUAUGCUUCCUCUUUUCGGUAUCGGCAUCGGGGCCGGUACCUUCCCCGCCGGUCUCGGCGCCGCCAUCGGUGCCGGCGCCGUCGGUGCCGGCACCGUAGGUGUCGAUGUCGGCGUCAGUACCAUCAUCGAGGCCGACCUGCAAACCUUGCUUAGCAGUCAAAUAGUCGAGGUACUCUUGUUCACCCUCAUAAUCCAUCUCGUCUGCAUCUUGGUCAGAAGGCCCAGUUUCUUCGUUGUUCGACAUGUUUCCUAUGAUUAAGUGGCCUCAUUUAUUUCUAAAAGUAUGAAUAAAUGAGAAAUGACAUAAAAAGAAAUCUAUGUGCCAACACUCGAUAUGCCAACUAUGUAGCACAAAUCAUGCCUUUAUUCACGGGAAAUUUCGGCAUGACCUUUGCUAAAAAAUGGACAUAUCGAGCGCCUGAAAUUCACCGAAACGGAAAUGAAUCAACAUUCCUGCGCAACAUAGGCCACUCGGAUCAUUUUCCAAACAUGACAUGUCCAAAACAUGACAUAUGCACAUAUCACAUGUCCAGUUCAAAUUUCCAUAUAAAUUCAGCUAAUUCAUAACUAAAUAGAUAACCUAAUUAAUUAACAUGAAGANNNNNNNNNNNNNNNNNNNNNNNNNNNNNNNNNNNNNNNNNNNNNNNNNNNNNNNNNNNNNNNNNNNNNNNNNNNNNNNNNNNNNNNNNNNNNNNNNNNNNNNNNNNNNNNNNNNNNNNNNNNNNNNNNNNNNNNNNNNNNNNNNNNNNNNNNNNNNNNNNNNNNNNNNNNNNNNNNNNNNNNNNNNNNNNNNNNNNNNNNNNNNNNNNNNNNNNNNNNNNNNNNNNNNNNNNNGGGGGCGAGCGACAUGGUCGGGGGCGAGCACGCCGGAGUCGGGGUCGAGAGCGGGACAGGGGCGAGCGCCGGGGCUGGCACCGGCGCCGGCAGGGUCGGGGGCGAGCGCCGGGGCCGGGUCGGGCACGGCGGAGCGACGGGGGCCGGAGAGAGAGUGGGGAUUUGGGGGGAAAUGGCGGGAUGAAGCUGGGCGAGUGCGAAUUUUGGGUUAAGUGGACGUAGCAGUAGCGGGUUAUGUCAAAACGCGCUGCUACUAUAUUCUGUAGCGGCAGCGGUUUAUGAGAAACACGCUACUACUAUGGUGCGUAGCUGCAGCGCUUUAUGGGAAACUCGCUACUACUAUGGUGCGUAGCGGCAGCGGUUUAUGAGAAACACGCUACUACUAAGAUCUAGCAGCAGCGGUUUUGUGGAAACGCGCUGCUACUGCCGUCGCUACUGCCAGGUUUCCUUUUUCUUUUCCUUUAUUUUAUCCCACUUUUAUUUCCCGAGGGCAAUGAACGAAGGGAGGGCGAUAUAUAUUGCAUCAUUUGACGGUUAAAUAUGUAUGCAAAAUAGGAACAUAUAUAUUACACAUCAUUGGACCCAUGCAUAAUAAUGACUAAGUGUGUAUACAAAUUAAAUAGGAACAUAUAUAUAUUACACAUCAUUGGACCCAUAACAUACGUUUCCUCAGUGCUGACGUUUUCGUUUUUGAGUCAGCUUCUUUCCCUUCUUGUUCGUCGAAGAAUAAUUGAGCCCCUCAUUGUGACUUUGCCUUUUCCAUGGAGUACGAUUUUUCUUAGGUAAUGUAGUAUUGAUUCUUCUUUUGACGUAUACUUCAUCAUCAUCAUCAUCUUCCCUCAUUGGGUUGCUGUACUGAUCAUAGUCUUCCUCGUUGGCGACUCCAUCCAUUCCAAUGAUGUUCCUUUUGCCUCUCCUCACGACAACACGGCUGGGAUUGCGCGGGUCAGUUAUGAAGAAACAUUGUGUCACGUGCUUAGCGUGUACCCAUGGCUCGUUUUUUGCGAUAGCGUUCAUGGUAGCGCUCUUGGCGUCGGGUAUAGUCAUGGUAGUGAACAUCCGGCUUUCUCUUUCGACAUUCUUAGCCCAUCUGACACGGAACAUCAUCGUGCUGUGCAGUCCAGAGUAGUCAAGCUCCCAGAUCUCCUCGACCCUUCCAUAAAAUCGUUCAGUUGUGCCGUUGUCGCUGCCGGUCAUGCAUUCCAUCGUCACCCCUGAGUUCUGAUCAUCACUGUCCAUAUCUUUUGCCUCUGUGUAGAAUGUGUAUCCGUUGAUAUCAUAUGCCUGAUAGGUUACGAGGUUGGGCGAGGGGCCAUGUGCUAAGGCGUAUAUGAGCAAUCCGUCCUUAGAGCCCUCCUCCGGUGGAUUAGCAAUAAUAUGCUCUUUGAACCAAUGCAGGAAAGUGGAGUUGUGCUCUCUAGUAACUUCGGCGUCCGUCCUGCAUACCCCCCGGUCACGAUACUUCUUUGUGAUAAUUUCUUUGUGCAGUGCCACGAAAGGAUCUACCUCGUCUAGGUGUUGUAGCACUACCAAGUUUGCUCUGUCAAAGUCGCUGCGUCGAUCUGAGUAUGCCACGUGCAGUUCCCUGCGACCGUUGCAGUGACCAUCUCCUUUGAGCCUCCCAUCGUGCUUGUUAACGGGCAAACCAACACUAACACCAGGCGGCUGGUCUGCGCCAUAUAAAAAAUUCUCACAGAAAGAGAUGCACUCUUGUGCCAAAUAGCCCUGGACGAUGCUUCCAUCCGGACGGGACAUGUUACGAACGAAUCCUUUGAUGAUCCCAUUCAUCCACUCAAACGGGAUCAUGUUGUGCAGGAAUGACGGCCCCAGGUCUAUUAUGUCAUCCACAAUAUGGACACACAGAUGCACCAUCACGUCGAAGAACGCGGGCGGGAAGUACAUCUCAAGCUCAUUCAGUAUCACAACGAUCUCUUCCUGUAGCCUUUGGAGCUGCUUCACACUGAUCGACUUUCGAGAGAUGACAUCGAAAAAGUUGCAGAGACCAAUAAGCGUGUCACGGACGUGCUUGUCCAUUAUCCCUCUAAGGGCAACAGGUAGUAUCUGCGUCAUCAUCACAUGACAGUCAUGAGACUUCAUCCCGCUGAACCUUUUCUUGUCCGUGUCUAGAUAUCUGCUUAUCUUGCCACAGUAACCGGAACUAACUUUCACUCCGGUAAGGCACUUAAAGAAUUGAUUGAUCUCAGCCUGACUUAAGGUGAAGCAAGAGGGGGGGCAAUAAUCUUCUUUCUUUAAUUUCUUGCCCUUCUUCUCCCGUGCCUCUGUCUUCGUCUCUGUCUCGUCUGACAUUUUACGGGGCGGCAUCUGCAGAUCUUCCCUGAUUUUCAAAUCUUGCAAGUCUUUUCUUGCCUUCGGCCCAUCCUUGGUCUUAUCCGGCAUGUUCAUCAGUGUUGCGAGCAAGCUCUCAAGGACAUUCUUACAGAUAUGCAUUUGAUCAAGGCAAUGAGGUGUAUCGAGUUUGUGCCAGUACUCCAAGUCCCAGAACACGACCUCGUCUUCCAUACCUUCAGCAGCGGCUCCGGCGCCUUUCUCAUCGUCUUUCCCGGCGCGGGGCACUCAUUCCAGUUUUUCAAUAGCUCAUCGAUUUCGGCACCGCUCCGCUUACGUGGAGGUCCUCGAUGCUCAGCGUGACCAUUGAAUAGAUCUCCACGGUUUCUCCACGGGUCGUCCUGUUCAAGCCAUCUUCGAUGCCCCAUGUACAUGAUUUUCGCAGACCCGCCAUCUUUCCUUGACGUUAGCUGCUGAGACGUUGUAUCAUCCAUGCACCGCGUGCAUCCGCAAUAUCCAUGGCACACCUGGCCUGCCACAUAUCCGUAACCGAGAUAGUCCUGCACUGUCGUGAUCAGCGCGGCUCUCAUGUUGAAAUACUCACCUUUGCUGGCGUCCCAUGUCUUGGCCGGUGUUUUCCAUAACGUGUCUAACUCCUCUUGAAGUAGCCCCAGAUACAAAUUAAUAUUAUUUCCUGGUUGUUUCGGCCCUUGAAUAAGCAUGCUCAUGUGAAUGUACUUCGAUUUCAUACACAACCAGGGGGGGAGGUUGUACAUCCAUACAAACACGGGCCAUGUACUAUGGUUGGUGUUCUAGUUGCCAAAUGGAUUCAUGCCAUCGGUACACGCGCCGAGCACGAUGUUCCUUGCAUCACAUUCAAAAUACCGUUAGAAGCUGUUCAACGCUCUCCACUGGCUUCCAUCCUUCACGUGUCUCAGCUUCGGAUCAUCUCCAUCGUCGGGCUUCUUCCUCUCCGCGUGCCAGCGCAUUAGCUUUGCUUCCUUGGGAUCUACAAAAUACCUCUGAAGACGGGGAGUGAUCGGUAAGUACCAUACAACUUUCUGGGGACAUUUCUUCCCGGCCUUCUUGUAUCGAGAAGCAUUGCACACCGGACAGCUUGUUUUUUCCGCGUGCUCCUUCCGAUAAAUUAUGCAAUCGUUGAUGCAUGCAUGGUAUCUAACGUGUGGCAGAUCAAGAGGGCACACGAUCUUCUUGGCCUCAUCAACACUAGUAGGACAUAGAUUACCCGCGGGAAGAAUAUCCUUUAGGUACUUGAGAUGGUCAUCGAGGCUAGUGUCGGUCCAUUUGUUUUUAGCCUUCGUCUUCAGGAGUUGGAGCGUGAAACUCAACCGGGUCACCUCAGGAUUGCAACCAUCAUACAAUGGAGUGUUCGAGUCUACCACCAGUUGCUCCAGCUUAGCCUCCUCUCUAGAAGCAGCUCUCUCAGUACUCGUCUCCUUGCGAAGCAAUGCUUGAACAUGAGGGUCCCGCACAAUUGAACUUAGUACCGACGAACUCUGCUGCGUGGAGUCCAUGUCGUUCUCUCCGCCGCCAUGUCCGGCCCCUUCUCCUCCGCCAUGUCCGGCCACUUCUCCGCUGCCAUGUCCGGCCUCUUCCCCGCCGCCAUUAUCGAUCAUCUCUUCGUCUUGCCCCGUGUCAUCAUUGCCUGCCCCGUCGGCAUCCUCAACAUCUUCAUCCUCAUCUUCAAUUAUCCACCGAGUAUAGCCAUCCAUGAAACCAGUCAUGAGCAGGUGCGCUUCGACACGACCAUCGUCAUGGGGGUCGAGCCAAACUAUUCCUUUGCAUUUUCAACACGGACAUAAAACCUCUGUCCGGUUAUUUUCUUUCAUGUCUUGCACCGCCGACCGCAACCACCUGUCCACCAUUGUUCCACUGACCAUCGUCAACUCUGCACGGUAAUAAUAAAAAAAUUGAUUGUAAAAAUGCAUGCAUGCAUCAAAGUCAUAAAAAAAUUUGGCAUGACCUUCCCUAAAAAUAGGACAUAUAUGGAUCUAGAGUUUGCCCGAAAUUCGCCGAAACGAAAAUAAAUCGACAUUUCGGCAAAACAUAGGCAACUCAAAAGCACAAUUUGGCGGCGUCAACUCAUGCCACAGACACAAUUUCCACAAACAUAUCACACAUACACAUAAACACAUUUCCAUUUUGCAAAAGCAUGAAAUUUUCAUCACCUCUAUCUCGAUGGCCGGAGAUGAUGUUGUAGGGAGAUCAAAAGUGCACAAAGCUAUUCUUGACAAAGAUAGAUCUAGUUAGGGGGCAAAUAGGUCACUUAACUAAAUCCUACAUCUACCUAGCUACCUAAUUUGGAAGGAGACAACUUCAACUAGUGGAGGGGGAGGAAAAAGAGAAAGAAGAUGCAUUAAUUAAUGGAGGUGGUGUAGUUAUGUAGGAGUAAUGAAGAGAGAGAAGGUGGAUAGAGAANNNNNNNNNNNNNNNNNNNNNNNNNNNNNNNNNNNNNNNNNNNNNNNNNNNNNNNNNNNNNNNNNNNNNNNNNNNNNNNNNNNNNNNNNNNNNNNNNNNNNNNNNNNNNNNNNNNNNNNNNNNNNNNNNNNNNNNNNNNNNNNNNNNNNNNNNNNNNNNNNNNNNNNNNNNNNNNNNNNNNNNNNNNNNNNNNNNNNNNNNNNNNNNNNNNNNNNNNNNNNNNNNNNNNNNNNNNNNNNNNNNNNNNNNNNNNNNNNNNNNNNNNNNNNNNNNNNUGUGGUGGAGGGAAGAGAGGAGAGGGGGAGGUAGGGGGGAAGGGAAAAAAGGAAGGGGGAGGGGAGGGACGGGUUGGGGGUUGGUGGGGUUAGCAGUAGCGCGGGAGAUAAAACGCGCUGCUGCUAAGAACUUAGCAGCUGCGCGCUUUGCGGUAAGGCGCUACUGCUAACUGGGACAAAAAAUUGUGGCAAUUUGAAACUUACCAGCAGCGAUCUCGAGGAAACCGCGCUACUACUACGUACUUAGCAGUAGCGCUGUUAUUGCGACCGCGCUACUGCUACUUAGAGUUGGGGGAACACCGCCGGUCGAUAUUUGUAGCAGCGCGUUUCUUGUCGAGCGCGCUACUGCUAAAUCUUUAUCAGUAGCGAGUUUACGUAACCCGCGCUACAACUACUUAGCAGCAGCGCUCUAUUUUGAACCGCGCUGCUGCUAAGAUUCUGUGUAUAGGCUUUUCCCUAGUAGUGUAGGAAGGAAUGACCACAUGAAUGAGCAUACGUAUGAUGUGAUUAAGUCUCUCGAUUGGGUAUCUGGUGCCUUAUGUACGGUGUCUUCUUUUUGUCAAGCUAUGACAUCUUUCAGUUUGAGUGUCUGAUAUUAGGGUUGCAUACGUUUUGUUAUUCAGUUGCCUGUUGUGAACUCUACGGUUAUAUCAUCUCGAUGUGUGAGUCAAUGUGUUUGAACCAAUGUAGAGUUUCAUGUGAAUGUUACAAGUGUGAUUGAUAUGUUCAUGUUAUCCGCGGUUGCCUUGGUAAGAAACUGAAAGAGCAAACCGUUAUCGUGCUAGGACAAAAGUCAUCACUCAAUAUAAGUGCUUCUCUAGAACAGCCACACCUUGUGAAAGAAGAUGGCAAACACCCAAUCAUGUCUGGUUCGAUAUGGGCGUGGCUAUGGGUAGCUUAUAGCGACAUGGAAGCCAGCAUCGCUGGAAGAAACGCCCGGGUGGGCCGGCCUAGAGACAUUUCUUGAUAUCUACCCUUAGUUUUGUUUUUCUGCCCUUCUUUCUUUAUAUUUAUAUUUUUCCCGACAUGUUCACUACUUGAUGCUCAACUGGGAUCUCAUCCUUCACAAAUACGGAGAGCCAUUAUUGUUAGAGUUAAUCUUGACAUGUGUGUAUGUGCAUGUGUGCAUUGCAUGUUAGUGGUCUAGAGAUGGCCGGGUCGAUGCGUCUGUUCUGUGCUGGAGUGAGUCCAGCAGUUUGUUUUGGUCAGGUCGUGGUGGCUAGAGCCAUUCUAGGAGAGGAUCAAGUCAAGUUGUUAGCUGAACUCGGCUGGGUAGUGUUUGGCCGUUGAGGAUAGGCUGUACUAGUGGUGGGCAUGGCCGUGCAUAUAGCUAGCGAUUAGUUACACUAGUAGAAAACCACCCAUUAGUCCCGGUUCGUAAGGGCCUUUAGUCUCGGUUCAGGAACCGGGACUAAUGGGUCGUUACUAAUACCUCCACCCAUUAGCCCCGGUUCAAACACGAACCGGGACCAAUGUGCCUCCACGUGGCCCUGUGCGGCGAGCCCAGUCAGGGGGCCUUUGGUCCCGGCUGGUGGCUCCAACCGGGACCAAAAGGCAUCCACGCGUCUGCAUUCUAGUGGUUUCUGGUUUUUGUUUUUUUUUUGAAAGGAGGGGGGUUGGGGGUUUUGGGGAGUUAAUUUAGGUGUUUCGUAUAUUGUGUUAACUAGCUAAUUAAUAGAGAGAAGUGUCCUCUCUUAUGUCCGUGCUUGGUCGACGCUACGUAGUAUAUAUACAUAAGUAAUCGAGAGAACCAUUCAGUACAGAAGUUCGUCAUGCAUACCGAGAGAAGUGAUCGAUCGACCUCUCCUUCUCCGAGAGAUUGGUCGAACAACAAGUUUUUUACUGGCUACAUACAUGUACAAUAUGUAUAAGAUCUCUUAAUUACAAACCCAUAGCAUUUGAAAUCAACUUCCACAUGGUAUUCUCCGGCUUUACUGAUGACGUGUUCAAGAAAGAAUCCCGCUAAUUCCUCUUGAAUUGCUUUCAUGCGAUCUGGUUCUAGGAGUUCACCCCGCAUCUGCCACGUCUAAUUAAUUUGAAGAAGGGGGUUAAUUAAUACAUAUAUAUGAAUGAAACUCAACAGAAAAUGAUGGUGUAAUAAAAUGAAAUUGUGAAUAUUAUUGCUUACGCACUUCAUAUUGUCUUCUAGAGUAGCCCCGCUUGUUUCUCAAAGUUGCGUUGUGGAUGAACUCGCACACGUAGUAUCCACAAAAAUCAUUCCCUUCCUCCUGUCACAAGCACUUUACGAGAAACAGAGGUCAAUCAAACUGAUAAUGAAGCAUUAUAAAUGGCAUUGAUGAAAGUAUAGCUAUAGAAUCAACGGGAGAUGCACGCAACUAGCUAGCCAGUAGUACUUACUUUCGGGUAUACAUAUCGCAGCUCCUUCGGCAGUCCCGGAGCUUGUGCGGUGAACUGUUUCCGAACCCUGCAAGACAAAGAAAAUAAUUAUUAUUACUUGAGAUAUCAGGAAAUGAACAAAAAGUUGCCGAUAUGGUGCGAUAAUGAUCGAUUGAACUUACUUGCUGAGCAUUUCAGUCAUGUCCACAUAGGUGCUGGGAUCUUUCCGUCUCGAGUCUAAGACGGUUACUAGUCCACGCUCAAGCUUAAUCUCCAGAAGAAUAUAGUGGUACCUGCGCACGCGUGCAUAACUCAUCAAUUACAUUAACCUCGCUCGAGUAAUAAGGGAAACCGAAUAUGCACACGACAGUAACACUCACGGGCCGUUGUAAGGAAAGAGUAUGGUAUCUUUGUUUUGAUUUUUGAUCAACGAUUGUAGCAAGUUGUCCUCGGCCUCUUCGACGUUCUUUUCAACCAGAAAUACAUCUAUGAUAUUUGUGUUAAUGAACCCAAUAUCAUAAAUUUUUUGUUUUUUGCACUCGACGAUCUUCAAUCUGCAUAAUAUAUUGAGGAUAAUUAAUUAUAAAUACAUGCAAUGAAAGAUCCGAGCUAUAUAUAGAGACUUAAUGUCAGAAAUAGUACUUACAUGCAGUAGCAAAAGACCAUUAAUUUAUCGAGGGCCUUUUGAUUGAAGAACUCAAAGAACUCCUCAAAUGGAACACACAACAGAUCAUUUGAAAUGAGGUCGUGCUCCUCUUUAAUAUUCAAAUACAAACUGUUCGUCCCCUCAGACUCUCUGCAGGUUUUCAUGUACCAAUUAUGGAAUCUUCGCAUCAUUAUUGUCAGAGAUUUUUCAUCUUUGACGAGAGGCUUCCCGUACUCGUAUCUGAAUACGUCCACCUCCAUGAAAUCAGGAAGUGCAUCGUCAGGCAGGUAAUCUUCAAGAUUGCCAUAACCGGCCACCGUCCCCGGAGGAUUAGACACAUUGAGCGGGGGGCACGAUUGCUGUGCUUGUUCGCCGAGCUGGGCAAUUUUUUUCCCCUUUGCUCGUUGUUCUUUUGACCUUUUAUCAUUGACAGUAGUUCCCGACCGCUUGGCUUGGAGAUAUGUCUGUUCAGUAAUGCGCUCAUAGUUGGUUCUCGGCGGAGACUUUGGUGGUUUCCUCAGGGCAUCGAGAGUGCGCUUUGCUUUCACCGGAUCUACCUUCUCCUCCGGAGGUGGAUGUCUCUUUGCUUUCACCCCUUCAAAGAACUCCUUCACGUGGGCCUGCACGAUCGUAUUGUUUUCCUCCUUGGUCCUCUCGUACGGUAACUUCUCUAGAGGCUUUAGAGGUGGACCGUAUCUGUAUUGCCUCUCUCUUCUUGUGCUGCUAGACGCCGGAGCAGACGGAGCGGCUGUGGCGUCUGUCUUCUUCCGUGCUUGCUUAUGAGGCGGAGGAGAAGGACUACGACGCGCCGGAGCAGCCGGGGCGGCGGCGGGUCUCUUCCGCCCUUGCUGGCGAGGCGGAGAGGAGGAGGCGGAGUGCCGCCACAUGCCGGAGAAGGAGGCGGAGUGCCGCCAUGCGUGCCCUGAUCGUCACUCGCCGGAGGAGGAGGCGGUGGAGGAGGCGGAGUGCCGCCACGCGUGCCCUGAUCGUCACUCGCCGGAGGAGGACGCGGUGGAGGAGGCGGAGUGCCCUGACUCGCUGAAAGAGGAGGAGGAGGCGGAGGCGUCCAGUUCAGAAGGUUGAUGAGCUCCUUCUGCCAUAGGCAUGGAGUCUUCAGAGCAGAACCCAGCCUAGUCUCCCCUUCACCGGUAGUGUGCUCAAGCACGAGGUCCUCAAAUCCCUCCGUUAUUUCAUCCACCAUCACCUUAGCAAAUCCUUCUGGAAUUGGCUGGCAGUGAUAAGUUGUGCCGGGUCCACUAGGAUAAACUUGGCCAACAGCCGCCUUGACCUUCAAAUUCAUCCAUCACACAAUAAUGUGGCAAUUUUGAGACUCCGUGAUACCAUCCACGGGAUAGCUGGCAGGAGCCGUCAAGACAUGCUCCGGCUGAAGCAGCUCAGUGGAAGCCACGCUGCUUCUCUGCUGAGAUGGCGGGGUAGCUUCGGGGGAAGCUUCGGCAGGUCGUUUGUUGUGAUCUGCUGCUUCUUGUUCCUCUAGCCCCAUUACCCUUUCGUGCAGCGCCUGCAUUUGGUCCUGCUCCAGUUUCUUCCUCCUCUCGUAGGCUUUGUAAACGCCUGCGUCCAGAAAACCAACCUUCCACGGAAUGGAGCCUGGCGUGCCUCGUGUCCGUCCAGGGUGCUCGGGAUUCCCAAGGGCCAUUGUGAGCUCGUCCUUCUCCCUGUUUGGAAGGAACGUCCCUCGUUGUGCUGCAUCGAUAUAGUGUCGAAGGUUCUUGACUGGUGUUUGCAGUUGCUCGUCCGUCCACUGACGCUUCCCUGUUACAGGGUCCAAGGUUCCGCCAGCCCCGAAGACCCAAGUCCGGCAACGGUCUGGCCAGCGCAUUGUCUCUGGUUCGAUUCCUUUUUCAAGCAGAUCAUGCUCAGCCUUGGACCACUUAGGCCGGGCUUUGAGGUAGCCACCUGACUCCGUGCGAUGGUGAAGCUUCUUCUUCGCAGCAUUUUUCUUGUUUGUCUCCGACAUCGUCUUACUCUUUUCCGAUGUCUUGUGGGCCACAAAUGCGGGCCAGUGAUCUUUGAUCUUCUCAUAUUUGCUGAUGAAUUCUGGUGUCUUUUUUUUCUCGAGAAACUGGUUCAGCUCUUUCCUCCACCUCCUCAUUAGGCUUGCCAUCUUCUUAAGAGCACAAGACUUGAUUAAUUGCUCUUUAACUGGCUUCUCCGGAUCCUCCUCUGGCGGUAGGGUGAAAUUUGCCUUCAGCUCAGUCCAAAGAUCUUCUUUCUGCAUAUCAUUGACAUAAGACACCUCAGGGUCUUCAUCCUUAGCAGGCUUAUACCAUUGCUGGAUGCUGAUCGGGAUCUUGUCCCUAACAAGAACCCCGCACUGAGCAGAAAAUGCCUUCCUUGUCCGGAUGGGUUCAAUCGGUUCGCCGUCGGGCGCGAUUUCUAUGAUCUCAAACUUUUCAUCCGAGAUCAACUUUUUCUUCGGGCCUCGUCUCCUUACCGAAGUUGUGCUCGAUCCGGAGGGCUAGAAAUUAUAAGGAAGAAAGACGACAGUAAUUAAUAUGUGUACAUAUACCAAAACAAUGGAUGCAUCAAUUAACUAGUCAGCACGGGCUUAACUAAUAUAUAUAUACCUGGCCGGACUCGGUUCGGUGACCGGAGCAGUCAGCACGGUCUCCUUGUACCUCCAUUGUGUCACCGGAGCCAUCAUGAACAUAGUCCUCCUCUUGUACCGGCAUUAAUGGGUCGAAGCCAUCAUAAACAUAGCCCUCUUCUUCAUCCAGUCCUUCCAGCUGACCAUCGGUGUCGAUGAGAAAUGACGCAACAUCAUCACUUCCAUUUGCGAUUAUGUCCCCCAACAUCGCUUCUGUUUCUUCGUCUCGGGAGUGCUCCAUAGUUUCUGCAAAUAUUUACAACAUGUCAAUUAUUAUUCAAACAUGGUACAAAUGGAUAUAUAUAUAUAUAUAUAUAUAUAUAUAUAUAUAUAUAUAUGAAAAUGGAUUGGUACUCCUAGGAGUACAUACUCUCACCUACACCCGUCAUCGUUGGAAACAUUCAUCCCGCUAACUACUAAAAAAAGAGCUAACUAACUACGGAUAAAGCCUUUGGAUUUAAAAAUUAGUUGAACCGCUUCCUUUUUUUUCAGCUCUCGUAGGCGUGCCUUCCAGGGAUUCCAUUUGAAACGGCGUUCUCAUCUCUUGCCAGCACCCAUGAACAUAAAAAAACAGAGCAUCGGCUCGCCUCCGCCCCGCCGACUGACCGGAAGACUUGGUCGACAUGGCCGACGAUGAUCCCCGUGCUUCUUCCCUCGCAAACUAGGCUUCAACCACCACGUCCAUCAAUCAGAGGAAGAUUGAUUCAUCAUCUGUAGUUUGCGAGGGUACGUGCAAUUGAUGUUUCCCGAUUUUUCUGUUCGGCUACCACAACCGUGUUCAUGUUCCCGCUGACCCCUUGAUCCAUUCCUGUCCAGUAUGUCAUCGUCCGAGAAGAAAAUAGGACGGAGAUGAUUGAUCGGCCAGAUUGAUCGGCCAAGUCUACUAGUACCACUGGUGGAAAAAAGGCCUUUGGUCGCGGUUCGCAACUGCCAUUAGUCGCGGUUGCGCAACCGCGACCAAAUAAGCGCGACUAAAGCCCCCCACCUUUAGUCGCGGCUGCUUAAGAACCGCGACUAAAGGCCCGUCCAUGUGGGCGCCAGGCGGCCGUCGGGACGGAGGACCUUUAGUCGCGGUUCUUCUGGCCAACCGCGACUAAAGGCCGCCACAGGUUUAGGGUUUUAGCCCCCCCCCUAAACCUGUUUUCUGUUUAAUUUGUAUUGUUUUAUUUCUUUUGUGCUUUAUUUUAAUUUUGAAGGAGUUUCAUAUAUUCUACGGUACUACAUACAUGCAUAUGAAUGUACAAUUUCAAAUAAAUUUGAAAUUAGAACCAAAAAGAAUUCAAGAGGAAUAUACAAUAUAUAUUCAAUAUCAUCGGAUGACCAUAUACAAUUUUGAACAAGUUUCCAUACAUGAUUUAAUGCAUAUAAAGUUCUACGUCCUCGUAAUAGUGUUCUCCUUUAGGAUGGAGGACUUCCCUGCUGAACCAUCCAGCUAGUUCCUCUUGAAGUGGUCGGAAGCGAGCUUCUGGACUAAGCAUCCACCGGAGGUUAUUCCUCUGAGCAUUGGUAUCACUCGGAACCCGCUCAGAGGUGUAUCUCCGGAUCAUCUCACAGACAUAGUAUCCACAUAGAUUGGUCUCCGGUGGCUGAAUAUCCCCAGCAUUCUUAGCCACUGACCUUUUGAAUUCUAGCUCUUUUUUGAAUUCACCGACCUUUGUAUCUACGAACCGUCUCCAAACCCUACGAGGCAAAGAAAAUUAAAUGAACAAGAGAGUUAUUAGUUACUUGAUAUUAGGAAAUGAACGAAAUAGGCCGAUUGAUAUAGAGCGCAAAUGAAUGAAAAUAAUUACUUCUGCAGCAUUCUUCUCAUGCCGCCCCAAAGCUUUGGAUCCAUAUUCACAGAGUCGUGGACGAGACAUUCUGAGGUGUUAACUUUAAUUACUAGCAGAAUCCAGUGGAACCUGCGGACACGAUACAUGCACAGUACGUCAUGCAUAACUCAUCGAUUAGCCGGCCACAUACCAUGCAUGGAGUAAACAAAAGAGAAUGUGCUCAAGACACAAACACUCACCCAAAAUGGUAAGGAAAUAGAAUAUCACUUUUGAGUUCCUGCUUUGUAAGAAACUGCCACAGGUCUACCUCCACGUCGGCGGGGUGACGCUCCAACACAUGUCCAUUAACGAUGUGUGGGUCAAUGAACCCAACAUCAUGGAUGUUCCUUACUCUGCAUUCCUUAAUCUUCAUUCUGCAUGUAUAAUAGCGGACACAACAAUAUAGUUAGGACAUAUAUAUAGUGCAGGCAAUAUGAACGAGAUGGGGUAGAAAUUAAUAAAUCACUUACAGAACGUAGCAACUGAUGAUAGAUUUAUCGAGCUCGCGCAGAUUGAAAAGCUGGAACAAUUCACUCAGUUCAAUUUGUACAUAGUAAUGUUUGAAGUGAUGCUCAUGUCUAACUUCCGCAUAAAUAUAUUCUUUGGCGUUUUUAUUUUUUAUGUAACCCUUGUACCAUUUCAGCAGACCUUUCAUUUGUGGAGGUAGAUCCUUUUCCUGCGCAGGCUCGACGAGAGGCCCAUUCUUGACAUAUGUAAUUACUACCUCCUUCACUGGCGCCUCAUCAAGGCCUAACAGUUCACGAAGAGUAAUACCUAAGUUGGCCGCUUGUUCUAUGGCACUCGUUACAGUCAAUCCCUGUGCUGCCGCAGCUUGUAUGAUCUCGGGGGCAUCCGGACAGAAGGCUUCCACUAUAAGCGGGGCAAUCGAUUGUUUACUUUGUUCCCCGAGCUGGGCAACUUGUUUCCCGCUUUUUUUACUUUCGGCCUUCUCCCGCUCUUUGUUCUCCUUGAACAUGAGUGCCUGCCUGCGAAGUUCACGUGCAUAGUCGUUAGGCAGAUUCUUCGCGGCUUGGGACGGUGUGCUCAAAAAUGACUUAGCCCACUUGUUUUGCUCAUCAGAAAAUACUGGCUUGGGCUCGAGCUCUCUUUUCUUCUUGCAGUCCGCCUUCCAUUUCUCCAAAUCAGCAGCCGCGGCCGCGUCGACUUCCUCGGCACUACGUUCCCAAGGCCUUGUGGGGAGAGGCUUCAGUGAUGGCUCCGGUACCUUUGUGGUCUUAGGUACAUAAGGGUCCGGGUUAAUAAUCCAGGACUGCUUCUGCUUCUUUGCCGGAGGUGGAUUGGGGGGCGGCGUCUGAUCACCCGCCGGACGAGGACUGGGGGGCGGCGGCUGAUCACCCGCCGGACGUUGUGGACUGGGGGGCGGCGUCGGCUGACGUGACGGAGGUGUAGGUGAACCGCCACCACCACCACCACCACCACCACCGCCACCGCCACCACCACCACCGUAGGGGGGUGGACUUGUUGUCCUUGGCGCCUCGCCUGGAAACUUGAUAAACUUCUUUUGCCAUAGAAUGAAAUGGCGCUUGACAUCUCCAAGUCUUUUCUCCCCUUCAGGUGUAGCAAUGUCAAUCUCCAGGUCCUCAAACCCUUGGACUAUGUCCUCCACCGUGACACGAGCAUAGCCAUCUUGAAUGGGGUUGUUGUGGUGGAGUGCUCCAGGUAAACAUGGUAAAGCACUGCCGAUGGCUACCUUCAUGGACAUGUUCCCGAUAGGAUAAUACAGAUGACAUUCUUCUCCGCUGCUGGCUUCCGAGAUCUGCUGGAUGAUCUUCAUGCUGCACCCGAGCUGCAUCUCUUUCGGCUACUAGUACACUCAUGGUUUUCUUCAUCACAUCCAUUUCCGAUGCCAACCGCGCCACAACAUCUGCUUCCCGAUCCACCUUUCUCUUACGGCUUCUGUAACCGUACGGGUCAUCGUUCUGGGGGAACCCUAUUUUCCACGGAAUGUGCCCCAUGCCUCGUACACGUCCUCCGUGUUCAGGAUUCCCGAGGGAUUUUGUCAGCGCGUCGUUCUCUCUGUUGAACUUGAUCUUCCCCUGUUGAGCAUCCCUCAUUGCGUUAAUAAGGGCUUGGGUGGGUUUAAUUAAUUUGCCCCGGUAAACACACUCCCCUGUCUCCGGGUUCAGCGUUCCCCCAUGCCCGUACCACCAACUUUUGGCCCUUGGGUCCCAUCCCUCCGUACCUGCACGGAUUCCUCGCGCCCUCAGCUCGUUCUCCAUCUUCUCCAACCUAGGCACCCAAAUGCGAUACCCUCCUGGCCCCAUAACAUGAUUGUACUCCUUCUUAGCCGCAUUUUCCUUAUUUUUUCGAUAUUUGAAUGAACUGCUCCGAUUUCUUUUGCUUCACAAAUUCUGGCCAAUCAUGUUUCAGUUUCUCAUAUUGUCCUUUGAAAUCCGGAGUCUUGUUCUGCUUGACAAAGUCAUGGGCUAGAUUUUGCUUGAAUUUCCGGAAUGCGUCGGCCAUCUUAUGAAGAGCGAACUGUUUGACUAGCCUCCUCCUCUCCUUGUUUUCUUCAAUCUUGUUACCCUCCUCAUCGAAUUUGUUGUAUUCCGGAGGUAGAACGAAAUGUUCCAUAAGCUUCUUGAAGCAAUCUUUUUUUGUUCUCUUAUCGACAAAAGUGAAACCAUCAAUUCGUGCCUUCUUUGGCUCAUUCCACUCCUGGACGGUGAUCGAGACGUUGUCUCUAACAAUGGCUCCGCAUUGGCUGACAAACUUGGUGGCGUUCUUGCGGGGCUCCAGCGGCCUGCCGGUUGCACUGUCGACAACCUCGAUGGUGCAUGUUUCUCCUUGUUUCAUCGUCUUGGUUGCGCCACGCUUUGACGACGUACUCGAUUGUUUCGACGAUCCGGCCGAGGGCUAAAAUAAGAAAGAGUCGCGCGCGUUAGUACACACAUAUUUAUUCAAAUCAGUUAGUUUGUAUCACCAGAGGCUCAAUGUAUAUAUAUACCUCGGCGCCGGAGGUGGUUGCUACAUCCAUUUGAAGAUCGUCGUUUAUCGACGUUUGUUCGGCAUCAUCUUGCUGACGGCGCCCUUCAUCUUCACCGUCAAGGUUCAGAUAAGAAGAGAUAUCAUCUUCUUCUUCUCCGGUCGGCACAUAUAGAAUAUCGCCGUUUAUGAUGCCGAACAUAUGUGCUUCACCGUCCGGAUCAUAGUUGUCCAUAAUCGGGUCAGCUCUAUCGUCCGCCAUUAUGUCAGUCCUGAAAACAUGUAGUAAAAACAAAUUAAUUAAGUGAAGAAGGGGGGCGGUGGCGGUGGCGGUGGCGAAAGGGUGGUGGCAAAAGGAGGGGGCGAGGAAGGGGUGGGAGAGGGUGUCGCGGUAGAGCGCGAGACGGGGCGGCACGAACGUCAUUUUGUGAAGAAACUUUGCAAGCAAUUAAACAUUUGUCAAUGUUUGGUAAAAAAAAUACAGGUAGCGUCUGUUGCUCCUAAUGAUUGGAAACGGUUUCCAAUUGCCAACGAGGAUUUAGAUCGACUACUACUACUAGUUGCAUUGCUCCCCAUCGGGACGAUGUUGCUCCUAAUCCCCUCCUUUGGAAUCUAUAGUACUAGUGCAUACUAGCUGGCCGUUGACCGUUGUUGCUCAUCGCGUUUUCUCAAAGUCCACUGAUUUUGCUCAGGGCCAGUUCGGAGAUUUUGCUGGUCCACUGAUUUUGGAUCAACGCCGGGAUGGCAUGGGCGCUCGGCGAUGAUGCGAAGUAGACUUGCACAGGCAACGUGAUGUACAUGGAUGUGUCAGUACGGUACGCUCGGCGAUGCCACGGUAUGGAUGACUUCUCGAGUGGAGAUUGGAGAACCAAGUUCGCCGGUGAAACGUCGGCUCCUGAUCAGAUCUGGGGGUCGCGAACUAGCGAUUGGAUCUCGGAAGGGAGUUAGGAAAGCGAACAGACGUGCGUUCAAGGCUACAACUUUUUUUUUCAGGAUCUUGAAAACAGCUACGCGUUCAAGGCCCGGUCCUGAUUUUGCUCAUCUACCCGGGGCGGCGUUCGCACUGCGCGAGGGCCGACUCCGCGGGGUGCUGCCGCGUCGCCUCGUCGACGCUGAGCGAGUUGGCGAGGACCGUGUACAUGGUCGGCACGUCGCCGGCGGAGAGGGUCAUGCUGUCCCCGACCAGCGGCGGCCACGGACGGGGAGGGCGGCGGCGGUGACUGGGAAGGAAUGAUAGGAGAGGAAGGAAGGUCGCGUGGGGUUGAGGGCGGNNNNNNNNNNGGCGAGGAGGGACUCCUUGGCGGAGAGGCGCUCCGUCUCGCGGGCGUAGCUGGCAGCGGGCUCCCACGCCUGCGCGUACACGUCGUCCCGCCGUGCGUUCAAGGCUACAACUUUUUUUUUUAGGAUCUUGAAAACAACUACGCGUUCAAGGCCGGCCCGGUCCUGAUUUUGCUCAUCUACCCGGGGCGGCGUUCGCACUGCGCGAGGGCCGACUCCGCGGGGUGCUGCCGCGUCGCCUCGUCGACGCUGAGCGAGUUGGCGAGCACCGUGUACAUGGUCGGCACGUCGCCGGCGGAGAGGGUCAUGCUGUCCCCGACCAGCGGCGGCCACGGACGGGGAGGGCGGCGGCGGUGACUGGGAAGGAAUGAUCGGAGAGGAAGGAAGGUCGCGUGGGGUUGAGGGCGGGCGAGCGAGGCGGCAGUACCGAGGCUGGCCGGCGGCGCGCGCGCGGUGGGCGAGGGCGACGGCGGGCGGCGUCGAGGGCGAGGGCGACGGCGGGCGGCGUCGAGGGCGCGGCAGAGACGAACAGGCGAGAAACGGCGGGCGGCGUCGAGGGAGCCUUGUAUUUAUAGCCCCCCCNNNNNNNNNNNNNNNNNNNNNNNNNNNNNNNNNNNNNNNNNNNNNNNNNNNNNNNNNNNNNNNNNNNNNNNNNNNNNNNNNNNNNNNNNNNNNNNNNNNNNNNNNNNNNNNNNNNNNNNNNNNNNNNNNNNNNNNNNNNNNNNNNNNNNNNNNNNNNNNNNNNNNNNNNNNNNNNNNNNNNNNNNNNNNNNNNNNNNNNNNNNNNNNNNNNNNNNNNNNNNNNNNNNNNNNNNNNNNNNNNNNNNNNNNNNNNNNNNNNNNNNNNNNNNNNNNNNNNNNNNNNNNNNNNNNNNNNNNNNNNNNNNNNNNNNNNNNNNNNNNNNNNNNNNNNNNNNNNNNNNNNNNNNNNNNNNNNNNNNNNNNNNNNNNNNNNNNNNNNNNNNNNNNNNNNNNNNNNNNNNNNNNNNNNNNNNNNNNNNNNNNNNNNNNNNNNNNNNNNNNNNNNNNNNNNNNNNNNNNNNNNNNNNNNNNNNNNNNNNNNNNNNNNNNNNNNNNNNNNNNNNNNNNNNNNNNNNNNNNNNNNNNNNNNNNNNNNNNNNNNNNNNNNNNNNNNNNNNNNNNNNNNNNNNNNNNNNNNNNNNNNNNNNNNNNNNNNNNNNNNNNNNNNNNNNNNNNNNNNNNNNNNNNNNNNNNNNNNNNNNNNNNNNNNNNNNNNNNNNNNNNNNNNNNNNNNNNNNNNNNNNNNNNNNNNNNNNNNNNNNNNNNNNNNNNNNNNNNNNNNNNNNNNNNNNNNNNNNNNNNNNNNNNNNNNNNNNNNNNNNNNNNNNNNNNNNNNNNNNNNNNNNNNNNNNNNNNNNNNNNNNNNNNNNNNNNNNNNNNNNNNNNNNNNNNNNNNNNNNNNNNNNNNNNNNNNNNNNNNNNNNNNNNNNNNNNNNNNNNNNNNNNNNNNNNNNNNNNNNNNNNNNNNNNNNNNNNNNNNNNNNNNNNNNNNNNNNNNNNNNNNNNNNNNNNNNNNNNNNNNNNNNNNNNNNNNNNNNNNNNNNNNNNNNNNNNNNNNNNNNNNNNNNNNNNNNNNNNNNNNNNNNNNNNNNNNNNNNNNNNNNNNNNNNCGAGGAAGACCAAUCGGCUUAAGGUCAGGAACAAAGUCAACACAAAACUCAAUUACCUCCUCAUUUCCAUAGCCCUUGGCGAUGCUUCCUUCUGGCCUAGCACGGUUACGAACAUAUUUCUUUAAUACUCCCAUGAACCUCUCGAAGGGGAACAUAUUGUGUAGAAAUACAGGACCGAGAACGAAAAUCUCUUCGACUAGGUGAACCAGGAGGUGCGUCAUAAUAUUGAAGAAGGAUGGCGGGAACACCAACUCGAAACUGACAAGACAUUGGAUCACAUCGUUCUGUAACCAUGGUAGAACUUCUGGAUUGAUUACCUUCUGAGAGAUUGCAUUGAGGAAUGCACAUAGCUUCACAAUGGCUACUCGAACAUUUUCCGGCAGGAGCCCCCUCAAAGCAAUCGGAAGCAAUUGCGUCAUAAUCACGUGGCAGUCGUGAGACUUCAGGUUUUGGAACUUUUUCUCCGCCAUGUUUAUUAUUCCUUUUAUAUUGGACGAGAAUCCAGACGGGACCUUCAUACUGCUCAGGCAUUCAAAAAAGAUGACCUUCUCUUCUUUGGUCAGAGCGUAGCUGGCACGACCUUGAAACCAUUCCGGAUGCCGGUCAUCAGGGUCUUUCAAACGUUGCUGGUCCUGCCGUGCUUCCUUUGUAUCAUUUGUCUUCCCAUACACGCCCAAGAAGCUUAGGAGGUUCACGCAAAUAUUCUUCGUAACGUGCAUCACGUCGAUUGCAGAGCGGACAUCUAGGACUUUCCAAUAUUCUAGCUCCCAGAAUAUAGAUUUCUUCUUCCACAUGGCUGCGUUCCCGUCUGCUCCCUUCGGAACUGAUUGUCCGCCAGGACCCUUUCCAAAGAUGACUUUCAAAUCCUUGACCAUAUCAAAUACCUCAGCACCAGUGCAUUCCGCAGGCUUCGGCCGGUGAUCUGCCUUGCCGUUGUAAUGCUUGCCUUUCUUUCUUACUGGAUGAAUUUUCGGAAGAAAUCGAUGAUGCCCAAGGUACACGUUCUUCUUACAAUUUGGCAAAUGUACACUUUCAGUCUCAUGUAAGCAGUGCGUGCAUGCAUUGUAUCCCUUAUUUGACAGUCCCGAAAGGUUACUAAGAGCAGGCCAAUCGUUGAUGGUUACGAAAAGCAACGCUCGUAGGUCAAAUUCCUCUUGUUUGUGCUCAUCCCACACACGGACACCACCCCACAGCUGUAAAAGUUCAUCAACUAAUGGCCUUAGGUACACAUCGAUGUCGUUGCCGGGUUGCUUCGGACCUUGGAUGAGCACUGGCAUCAUAAUGAACUUCCGCUUCAUGCACAACCAAGAAGGAAGGUUGUAGAUGCAUAGAGUCACGGGCCAGGUGCUAUGGCUGGAGCUCUGCUCGCCAAAAGGAUUCAUGCCAUCCGUACUUAGAGCAAAUCUUAUGUUCCUUGCGUCAGCUGCAAAAUCUUUGAACCAUCUGUCGAUCUUUCUCCAUUGCGUUCCAUCUGCGGUGUGUCUCAACUCCCCGUCCGACUUACGGUCCUCUUUGUGCCAUCGCAACAACUUGGCAUGCUCUUUGUUCCUGAACAGACGUUUCAACCGUGGUAUUAUAGGAGCAUACCACAUCACCUUGGCGGGAACCCUCUUCCUGGGUUUCUGGCCCUCAACAUCGUCACCAGGGUCAUCGCCUCUGAUCUUAUAACGCAAUGCAGUGCAUAUCGGGCAUUCAUUCAAAUUCUCGUAUUCACCGCGGUAGAGGAUGCAGUCGUUGAUGCAUGCAUGUAUCUUCAGAACCUCUAAACCUAGAGGGCAGACAACCUUCUUUGCUUCGUACGUACUGGCGGGCAACUCGUUAUCCUUUGGAAACAUACUCUUCAACAUUUUCAGCAAGUUUUCAAAUGCCGAGUCAGCUACACCUGCCUCUGCCUUCCAUUUCAGCAAAUCCAGUGUGCAGCCCAGCUUUUUCAGACCAUCAUCGCAUCCGGGGUACAGCGCCUUUCUGUGAUCCUCUAACAUGCGAUCCAAAUUCUCCCUCUCCUUUUCAGUUUCGCAGCGUCUCCGUGCAUCAGCAAUGGUCCGACCAAGAUCAUCAACGGGAUCAUCACGUGCCUCUUCUUCACCUUCCCCUUCACCUUCAGCAUCCUCCAUGAAAGUAUCACCGAGAUGAGCAAGAUAGCUUUCAUCGAUGAAAUCAUCCCCUUCUUCAUCUUCUUCCAUUAUAACCCCUCUUUCUCCAUGCUUGGUCCAACAAUUAUAGCUUGGCAUGAAACCGUGCCGAAGCAGAUGCAUGUGAACAUCUCUUGAGGAAGAGUAACCCUUCUGAUUCUUACAGAUAACACAUGGACAGAUAACAAAAAACCCCUGCUUGUUCGCAUUAGCCACUACGAGGAAAUCUUUCAAACCCGUAGUGAACUCGCCGGAGAGUCGGUUACCGUACAUCCAUUGCCGAUUCAUCUGCAUUAUUAUAAUAUAAAAUAUAUAAUUAACCAUCAUGCAUUUGUUAAACUAACUAGCUACAAACAAUAUAAAUUAAACAAUGAACUGCACACAUGCAUAUUUUAUCAAUGACACAUCAAAGGUUCAUCAAGUUGCUAACCGCGAUCGAGGAGUGUGGCUCCAACACUUCAUGUCAUGUUUGUUUCAUGCUCUUGGGGCAUUUCAUCAAACACCUUAUGUGCAUAAGAGGAACCAAAAGCAAACCUACACCCACUUGUGAAGAGAAUGGCUCCAAAUGGCUAAGUGUUGGCUGCUGGAUGGGUAUAUAUAGGGGAGGGGCUUUAGUUGCGGUUGGCUUGGCAAACCGUGACUAAAGGUGCCCGAAGGCCUUUAGUCGCGGUUGUCCUGGCCAACCGCGACUAAAGACCCUCACGUGCGCCAGCUGGCCACCGAGCGCCCUGAGCCCAGGCCUUUGGUCGCGGUUCACCUCCAGAACCGCGACUAAAGGUCCCAUUAGUCGCGGUUCCUACAGCUUCGCGACUUAUGGGGCUGGACGGAAGCUUGUUUUUCCACCAGUGUACUAGGUAAGGUGUCGUUCCAGUCAAAUUGAUGAAUUCAUCUUUUGUUACCUUUGUUAUAGGAAUAUAGGCUGCAUUUAUUAGUCAUAUCGAGCUCUCAAGGAGUCAAGAUCUUGUUAACUUACUAAUAAUUUCUAUAUACCUGCAGCGUUAUGGCCUAUGGUGCAGGGCAAAGACAACAAGGACGACAUGCGGCGGCGACGUGGCCAUGGUGAAGCUACUUCGUCCGGCUACCCCAUGGUUGGCGUGUCUGCCGUCCUCUCAAUCUAUCACACGUACGUCCGGUGCAUGCAUGGUGUCGGGCCGAAGAGCACACAAAUCUACAUCCAGGCCCUGGGCACUAGCAACCGCUGAUGCACUUAGCCACUUACCAAUGUAUUCCUAUUGUACGUAUAUAAUAAAGUGGUUAGUACGUCGACGUAGAAAUAGUUAGUAGCUUGCUUUGCACUCACACAAUCGAGUCAUGAUUGUUACUGAUGAUCAAAAUUUUAUGUAUUUUUUAUGCCGGAUGGGUUUACUACUUCUUCUUCGGUUGUAUAUAAAGCUUCCAAAAAAUUAGUAUAUAAUCCUCCAGAAUAAAUCAGUAUAUAGUCCUCCAAAAAAAUGAGUAUAUACACUUUGUAACGCAGCAUAUACCCCAUAAAAAAUGUAGUAUAACGCUGCAGAAAUAAGACAUACUCCUUUUCUAGUUGCAUAUACCCAAUCACAAAACUACACUGAAAUAAUUAGUAGUACAUACUCCUUUUCUAUUUUGGAAAGGAACGUCCAUUUCCCUCUUCAACAAGUGCUUUAUUUUUCUAGGGGUAGCCUUGUGUUUUUACUGCCAUGCGACGACAUUACAAAAUGUAUUACACCCAUUAUUCAUCUAAUUUUUUAUAUACCCUUUUAUGCAUACUUUGAAUUUAUCACUCAUUUGGGCGACCAGCCCGCUCUCUCAUUGCAGCGACUCGACUCUCACAUAAAGCCAGUAUAUACUCACGUAAAAAAAAGCAGUAUAGACUCCCUUACUGAAAAAGAACUAUAUACUCCCCUACCAAAAAAAGUAGUAUAUGCUCCAUUACCAAAAAGGCAGUAUAUACUCAUAUACAAAAGGUGGUAUAUACUGUCUUCCCAAAGUAGUAUAUAUCUUUUUCCUUGCGUUAGAGAAGUAGUAUAACCAGAACAGAUAGUUCAUACUUGUGUGCUGAAAAAAGUAGUAUAUAAAUAUAUAUGUAAGAGUGAGUAUGGUAGAUAUGUAUCGGUCCUUACAAAAAAAAUCAACCACUGUUAUUGUUUAUUUGCACCGAACUAACCUUAUCUGUAUGCUAGGAUCCUUGAAUCUCUCAAUCUGUUGAUGCACAUGCAUGCGUCGGCCGGUGGAGCAAUUAGCAACUAGAUCUAAUAACUGCCAACCUGUUCAGUCCAUGGGAGUACAUACUCCUGGGAGUAUAAAAGAGGAGUCUAUAUAUAUAUAUAUAUAUAUAUAUAUAUACGGUGGCGCUAUUGUGUGCGUGAGCGCAGAUUUACUUAUCGUGCGCGCCGGUCAUUGCGUGCGCCACUCGUAUUCCUAAUGAUGGUAAAAUUCCUGGCAGAAAUAGUAAUAUAAUUUAAUUGGUUACUGCCUGCCACCACCACGGUAGCGAUUUAAUUGGUUAGGUCUACUAGUAAAAAUGCAUAGCAGAAAAAGUAAAAGAGCUAAAAGUAUUACUGUUGGAUGCAUCGGUCCCCGCUUCGACUGCCUACUAGUAAAACACCUCAUAAAAGUAGUAAUAGGAUUACCCUACACGCAUCAGCCCCUUGCCAUACUUGUGAACAGGUAAACUUCAUGUGAAGAAUAGUACUGGAUGGUAACUGUGUUACCAUAGAACGGACACUUGCUAUUAGCUAGCUACAUGGUAAUUUUAUUACCGCUAACUUUCAUCGGUUUAAUACCUAAUCAUGUUACCACUUAUUUUCUUAGUAGUAUUGGAUGGUAACUAUGUUACCACAUGACGAAAAAAUUGCUAUUAGCUAAUAGCUACACGGUAAUUGCAUUACCACUCAUGUGUAGAAGCAUGAUACACGGUCUUUUUUCCAAUUACGUUUGGUCGAAGACGCAAGGGUUUGCUAAUCGCUAAAGUGGGGUCGAAGCAGUAAUAAGUUUCCAACCGUUACCAUGUUUCUUAAGGUAUGUUACGUAUGGGCGCAAGACAUGUUCUUUAAUAGGAGCGGGACAACGGUUGCUUAGACGGAGAAUGGCGCGCAGUCUGGCCGGAGCGUAGAAUUAGACUUCUGCGCUCAGGCUUAGUUUAGCACGUCUAUAUAUAUAUAUAUAUAUAUAUAUAUAUAUAUACAUACAUGUUAGUGGCCUCGACGCUGCUUCUCUAGGGUUUGGGGUCGCCUCGACACAACGCUUCAAGGGUUUGGGGUGGCCUCGACGACAACGUUUUUUUAACUUGAUAAAUUUGGGUGGCCUCGAGAGAGUUAAUUUGUCGGGUAGGGGCGCGGCGGGAGGGGGUAGGAGACCAACAUCGUUUUCUCUCUAGGGUUUGGGUGUCCUCGAGAGUUAUCGGGGAGGGGGUAUCGGUACCACCCCCUAGCUCGUGUUGAAGUUUCUUCUUUCUCCUCUAUUCCUUUCUUUCUUCUUCUCCUCUUCUUUUUCUUCUUCUCCCUCGAGAAAGGAAAAUANNNNNNNNNNNNNNNNNNNNNNNNNNNNNNNNNNNNNNNNNNNNNNNNNNNNNNNNNNNNNNNNNNNNNNNNNNNNNNNNNNNNNNNNNNNNNNNNNNNNNNNNNNNNNNNNNNNNNNNNNNNNNNNNNNNNNNNNNNNNNNNNNNNNNNNNNNNNNNNNNNNNNNNNNNNNNNNNNNNNNNNNNNNNNNNNNNNNNNNNNNNNNNNNNNNNNNNNNNNNNNNNNNNNNNNNNNNNNNNNNNNNNNNNNNNNNNNNNNNNNNNNNNNNNNNNNNNNNNNNNNNNNNNNNNNNNNNNNNNNNNNNNNNNNNNNNNNNNNNNNNNNNNNNNNNNNNNNNNNNNNNNNNNNNNNNNNNNNNNNNNNNNNNNNNNNNNNNNNNNNNNNNNNNNNNNNNNNNNNNNNNNNNNNNNNNNNNNNNNNNNNNNNNNNNNNNNNNNNNNNNNNNNNNNNNNNNNNNNNNNNNNNNNNNNNNNNNNNNNNNNNNNNNNNNNNNNNNNNNNNNNNNNNNNNNNNNNNNNNNNNNNNNNNNNNNNNNNNNNNNNNNNNNNNNNNNNNNNNNNNNNNNNNNNNNNNNNNNNNNNNNNNNNNNNNNNNNNNNNNNNNNNNNNNNNNNNNNNNNNNNNNNNNNNNNNNNNNNNNNNNNNNNNNNNNNNNNNNNNNNNNNNNNNNNNNNNNNNNNNNNNNNNNNNNNNNNNNNNNNNNNNNNNNNNNNNNNNNNNNNNNNNNNNNNNNNNNNNNNNNNNNNNNNNNNNNNNNNNNNNNNNNNNNNNNNNNNNNNNNNNNNNNNNNNNNNNNNNNNNNNNNNNNNNNNNNNNNNNNNNNNNNNNNNNNNNNNNNNNNNNNNNNNNNNNNNNNNNNNNNNNNNNNNNNNNNNNNNNNNNNNNNNNNNNNNNNNNNNNNNNNNNNNNNNNNNNNNNNNNNNNNNNNNNNNNNNNNNNNNNNNNNNNNNNNNNNNNNNNNNNNNNNNNNNNNNNNNNNNNNNNNNNNNNNNNNNNNNNNNNNNNNNNNNNNNNNNNNNNNNNNNNNNNNNNNNNNNNNNNNNNNNNNNNNNNNNNNNNNNNNNNNNNNNNNNNNNUGAAAACACUUUUUUUUGUUUUCUUUCUUGCUUUAUUUAUUUUAUUUUGUUUCUACUUGCAAUAAAAUACUUAUUGUUGUUUUUUUGUUUUGUUUUCUGCAUUAUUUAUUUUCUUUUGUUUUUUGCUUUAUUUUUUAAUUCUUUUUGCUUUUAGUUUUAGGAAAAUUAUAAACUUUCUAUUAGUGCCAUUACUUUUCAAAUUUGAAAACACUUUUUUGUUUUUUAGUUUUCUUUCUUGCUUUAUUUAUUUUAUUUUGUUUCUACUUACAACAAAAUACUUAUUGUUGCUAUUUUUAAUUAUUACGAAGGCCAAACCAUAAGACAUUAAAGCAUUUCAAAUGAACUCUGAAAAAGUUGAAAGUUGGCAUGGUAUCAUAAAUUGACCCACACAUAGCAUGUGCAUGUACAAAACGGACAAUGUUAUCAUACUCGUCAGUUACAAAGUUGGCAUGGUAUCAUCAUAAUAGUUGCGGGAGAAAGUCUUCACUUUUUCUUCGCUUGUGUCAUUUGCUUAUUGCGCCGUAACCAUGGAUAAUCUUCAUCGUUUAUCAGGAUGCUGGGGUCAGCCUUGACUUUAAAGGGAGGAAUUUCAUGAAACUUUUCAUAAUCUUCAGACAUGUCUGUCUUGUCCUCCUCUCCCACGAUGUCCCUUUUUCCUGAAAGAACUAUGUGGCGCUUUGGCUCAUCGUAUGAUGUAUUCGCUUCCUUAUCUUUUCUCUUUCUUGGUCUGGUAGACAUGUCCAUCACAUAGAUAACCUGUGCCACAUCAUUGGCUAGGACGAACGGUUCGUCAGUGUACCCAAGAUUUUUCGGAUCCACUGUUGUCGUUCCGUACUGUGGGUCUACAUGUACCCCGCCUCCUGACAGAUUGACCCAUUUGCACUUAAACAAAGGGACCUUAAAAUCAUGUCCUUAGUCAAGUUCCCAUAUGUCCACUAUGUAACCAUAAUAUGUGUCCUUUCCCCUCUCGGUUGUUGCAUCAAAGCGGACACCGCUGUUUUGGUUGGUGCUCUUUUGAUCUUGGUUAAUCGUGUAAAAUGUCUUCCCAUUUAUCUCAUAUCCUUUCCAAAUCGUAACAGUCGAAGAUGGUCCCCUGGAUAACAAGUACAUCUCAUCACAAACAGCGUUGUCACCUCUGAUACGUGCUUCCAACCAACUGCUGAAAGUCCUGAUGUGUUCACAUGUAAUUCAGUCGUCGCACUGCUCCGGGUGUUUGGAGCGCAGACUGUUCUUGUGUUCAUCCACAUACGGGGUCACCAAGGUAGAGUUCUGUAGAACUGUGUAGUGUGCUUGAGACCAAGAAUAUCUGUCCCUGCAUAUUAUUGAGUCCCUUCCAAGCAUGCCUUUUCCAGUCAGUCUCCCCUCAUACCGCGAUUUAGGGAGACCUAUCUUCUUAUGGCCAGGAAUGAAGUCAACACAAAACCCGAUGACAUCCUCUGUUUGAUGGCCCAUGGAGAUGCUUCCUUCUGGCCUAGCGCGAUGAGGGACAUAUUUCUUUAGGACUCCCAUGAACCUCUCAAAGGGGUACAUAUUGUGUAGAAAUACGGGGCCCAAAAUGACAAUCUCGUCAACUAGAUGAACUAGGACGUGCGUCAUGAUAUUGAAGAAGGAUGGUGGGAACACCAGCUCGAAACUGACAAGACAUUGCACCACAUCACUCCUUAGCCUUGGUAUGAUUUCUGGAUCGAUCACCUUCUGAGAGAUUGCAUUGAGGAAUGCACAUAGCUUCACAAUGGCUAAUCGGACGUUUUCCGGUAGAAGCCCCCUCAAUGCAACCGGAAGCAGUUGUGUCAUAAUCACGUGGCAGUCAUGAGACUUUAGGUUCUGAAACUUUUUCUUUGCCAUAUUUAUUAUUCCUUUUAUAUUCGACGAGAAGCCAGUCGGGACCUUCAUACUAAGCAGGCAUUCAAAGAAGAUUUCCUUCUCUUCUUUGGUAAGAGCAUAGCUGGCAGGACCUUCAUACUGCUUUGGAGGCAUGCCGUCUUUUUCGUGCAAAUGUUGCAGGUCCUCCCGUGCCUCAGCUGUAUCUUUUGUCUUCCCAUACACGCCCAAGAAGCCUAGCAGGUUCACGCAAAGGUUCUUCGUCACGUGCAUCACGUCGAUCGAAGAGCGGACCUCUAGGUCUUUCUAGUAGGGUAGGUCCCAAAAUAUAGAUUUCUUCUUCCACAUGGGUGCGUGUCCCCCAACGUCACUCGGAACAGCUAGUCUGCCGGGACCCUUUCCAAAGAUUACGUGUAAAUCAUUGACCAUAGCAAGUACGUGACCACCGGUACGCAUGGCGGGCUUCUUCCGGUGAUCUGCCUCGCCUUUGAAAUGCUUGCCUUUCUUUCGACAUUGAUGGUUGGUCGGAAGAAAUCGACGAUGGCCCAGGUACACAUUCUUCCUACAGCUUGCCAGGUAUAUACUAACGGUGUCAAGUAAACAGUGCGUGCAUGCGUGGUAUCCCUUGUUUGUCUGUCCUAAAAGGUUACUGAGAGCAGGCCAAUCGUUGAUGGUCACGAACAGCAACGCCUUUAGGUUAAAUUUCUCCUGUUUGUGCUCAUCCCACGUACGUACACCGUUUCCAUUCCACAGCUGUAAAAGUUCUUCAACUAAUGGCCUUAGGUACACAUCAAUGUCAUUGCCGGGUUGCUUAGGGCCUUGGAUGAGAACUGGCAUCAUAAUGAACUUCCGCUUCAUGCACAUCCAAGGAGGAAGGUUAUACAUACAUAGAGUCACGGGCCAGGUGCUGUGAUUGCUGCUCUGCUCCCCGAAAGGAUUAAUGCCAUCCGCACUUAAAGCAAACCAUACGUUCCUUGGCUCACUUGCAAACUCAUCCCAGUACUUUCUCUCAUUUUUCUCCAUUGCGACCCGUCAGCGGGUGCUCUCAACUUCCCGUCUUUCUUACGGUCCUCACUAUGCCAUCGCAUCAACUUGGCAUGCUCUCCGUUUCUGAACAGACGUUUCAACCGUGGUAUUAUAGGAGCAUACCACAUCACCACUACUAGGGAAAAGCCUAUACAUAGAAUCUUACCAGCAGCGCUCUUCAAAAUACAACGCUACUGCUACUUAGCAGCAGCGCGUGUCUGCCAAACACGCUGCUGACUUGGAAGUAGCAGUAGCGGGUGCAUCGCAUACAGCGCUACUGCUAUAGUUGCCAUGACCUUGCCCCCCCCCCCCCNNNNNNNNNNNNNNNNNNNNNNNNNNNNNNNNNNNNNNNNNNNNNNNNNNNNNNNNNNNNNNNNNNNNNNNNNNNNNNNNNNNNNNNNNNNNNNNNNNNNNNNNNNNNNNNNNNNNNNNNNNNNNNNNNNNNNNNNNNNNNNNNNNNNNNNNNNNNNNNNNNNNNNNNNNNNNNNNNNNNNNNNNNNNNNNNNNNNNNNNNNNNNNNNNNNNNNNNNNNNNNNNNNNNNNNNNNNNGCAAACGCGCUACAACUAUCCCUACCUUAUCCCCAUGCGCACGACCGGCCCUCUCACUCACACUCUCACUCUCGCCCACGUCAACCGUCGUCGUCCGUCGCCGCCGCCGCCGCCUUCGUCCGUCCGCCGCCGAGGUACUCCCCUCCUUCCGUCCCUCCUCCAUCCUCCUUGCACAUCCUCCCUCCGCCUGUGGCCGCCCCUCCUUCCUCCGCCGCUGCCCUCCUCCCUCCGCCUGCGGCCGCCCCUCCUCCCUCCUCCGACGGCAGCCCUCCUCCCACCGCCCUCGACCUCGCUGCCCCUAGCUACCUCUCCGUCGCCCCCCACCCCUGCCACUAGUUAGUACUAGAUUUAGUAGUAGUAGAUGUUAAUUUAGGGUUAGCUAGUACUAGAUGUUGCUUAGUUAGUACUAGAUUUUUAGUAGUAGUAGUGGUAGUUGAACUACUUUAGUUGUAGUUGAACUAGUUUAGUAAGUAAAUUAAUAAACGAGUUGAACUAGUUGAAUUAAUAGAACUAAUCUAUUUUUAGUAAGAUAAUUAAUAUAACUAGUUGAACUACUUUAUUUUUAGAAAGAACUAAUUUUUUUCUAUUUAUAUUAAGUUUAUAUUUAGUAAGAACUAGUUGAAUUAAUAAAACUAGUUGAACAUGUCAUGUUUGUUGUUAGUGAUAACUUAUAUGGUUUCAGGUGACCUCCGUCGUCCCCGUCACCGACCCCCUCCGACAUCCCCGUCGUCGUCCCAGUCACCGACCCCCUCCGACAUCGAGGUGAGACCAGCCAAAUAUCCUUGUAUAUCUUGUGUUGUUGCUCAAAUUGGAUAUGUGGUUGCCCAAGUGGCCGUUCAUGUAGUUUACAUCUCCGAGUGGCCUAUGUUUUGCCGGAGUGUUGAUUAAUUUCCGUUCCGACAAAUUUCAGGCGCUCGAUAUGUCCUUUUUUAGCAAAGGUCAUGCCGGAUUUUGUCGUGAAUUCUGGUAUGACUUGUGCUAGAAUAUGUACAAGUUUAAUCUUUGAAUUAUGAUUGUAGGAAAUGUCGUACUCGGACGACGAAGGUCUCCCGGGGGAGUGUAGCUGGUGCCACGACGAUCGAGGUAUGUGCGAUAGGUUCGUUCGGCUGGACGAAGAUCGGCGCUUCAACAUUAAGCUCGAGGAGACCUUCGAUUGUGAAAUGGUACGCAACAACGACAAGUGUUUUUUCUCCAUUAAGCAUGACUUCAACUAUUUCAACGUCUAAUUUUCAUAUUUUACAAUUCGACUAGCUUAUCCCAUGCCAUGCAAGACGCUAUGUCUUGGAGAGGAUGGGUUUUGAAGACCAUGAAAAUUUCAAAACAAAGAAAAUACACCUAAGGACCCAUCAUGAUAUGGAUUUUGAAGUAAACCUGUGCAAUGCUCAGAGCGCAACCCAUUUUGGUUGCCAAAAUUGGGAAGCACUUUGCAAAAUGUAUGGUUUUUAUGAGGGUAUGAUUGUCACCAUGGAUCUUGGUGAUCCUGACAGUGAGGAAGACAAUAUGGACAUUUGGGUCCUUGUUGAUACGCUUCCGAUUGUACCGCUAUGUGACUUUCUCAAACAUAGUUAUUAACUAAUUUAUAUUGUUUAUUUCAAAAUAGUUGAUAGCUUAUUUCCAUUGACAGCUUAUUUUGAUUCUUCAAAGACUGUGCGGAAGAUGGUAGAUAAAACCCACUACACCGAAGGCACCCAAUUAACGUAUAAGGAGAAAAAUCAUCUGAUCGCAUUUUGUACUCUUCUUGAGAAUUACAAUGACUAUAAUCGAACUCCUCCAGAUUAUGGUGAAUAUGUGCCACUAGUGCAUGUGUUGAACAACGAUAACUUAUCUGGAGAUACCCUGGUAAGAUUUUUUACUAUUACGACAUCCGUGUAUUUUUUGCAUACUUCUAAAACUAGUACAUCAUUGCUAACUACGAAGUUAUUAUUAUGUUUUUCAACAGAAACUCCCGAUGGAUUGUGUGCCUCAUCUGAUGUCUCUGCAUGGUCGCCUCUCAGUUCUGAACAUACUGCCAGGUAAAUCUACAGAGCUCACCUAUGCAUAUCAGAUUUCUAAAACCCGUGAACACAUGAUCAUCAGAGAAUGGAAGAAAUGUAUGGACAUUCGCAAGGAGGUUCUUGGAAGUAACAUUCAGCGAAACGUAAGAAUGGGAGACAGGCUAAUCUCCAUUCUCCAUAAUGGAGAGUCAGGGGCUAUCUUGUUUUUUGUUAUUUUACCUUAGAAAAUGUAGUAGGUCUUAAUCGAAUGUAAUAGGUCCUAUGAGGUACAAUAUGUUUAUUAUGUGGUAAUGUGUUAGAGUUGAUAAUGAUGAUCUUGAGGAGGUGUUAUGUGAUGUCAAUGAUGAAAACGAUGAUAUUGAGGAGGUGUUAUAUGACAAUGAUGUAUUAUGAUGCUAAGUUGUUAAUGAUAUGAUGAUGAUGAUGAUAUUAUUAUAUCAUUGGGUGAAAGAACCGUGGAUUAGUUUCAAGUGGAUGGACAUCCACUUGAAACUAGUCCACGGUUCUUUCACCCCAUGAUGUAAUAACUCAUUAUGAUGUAAAAACAAUCUCUAAAUUCCUGUUGUAUGAAAACUUGUGUAAGGGUGUAUGAAUACAACAUGAAAAAGAAAAGAAAUAAAAUACUAAAUAAUAGUAGUAGCGCGGGUAAGGAGAAGCGCUACUACUAAUUACCAGUAGCGAUGUUCUAAAGAACCGCUGCUACUAAGUCAAUUUAGCAGUAGCGCGUGUCAAGACGCGCUAUUGCUAAGCAUUAGCUGUAGCGCCUUAUCAGUAGCGCUCCUGCCCGCGCUACUGAUAGGCCCAAAACCCGCGCUGCUGCUAGGCUUUUCCCUAGUAGUGCACCUUCGCAGGAACCCUCUUCCUGGGGGGCUCGCCGUCAACAUCACCAGGGUCAUCUCGUCUGAUCUUAUACCAUAAUGCACCGCAUACCAGGCAUGCGUUCAGAUCCUUAUAUGCACCGCGGUAGAGGAUGCAGUCAUUAGGGCAUGCAGGUAUCUUCUGCACCUCCAAUCCUAGAGGGCAUACGACCUUCUUUGCUGCGUAUGUACUGUCGGGCAAUUCGUUAUCCUUUGGAAGCUUCUUCUUCAAUAUUUUCAGUAGCUUCUCAAAUCCUUUGUCAGGCACAGCAUUCUCUUAAAGGAAAUAUGCCCUAGAGGCAAUAAUAAAGUUAUUAUUUAUUUCCUCAUAUCAUGAUAAAUGUUUAUUAUUCAUGCUAGAAUUGUAUUAACCGGAAACAUGAUACAUGUGUGAAUACAUAGACAAAACUAUAGUCACUAGUAUGCCUCUACUUGACUAGCUCAUUAAUCAAAGAUGGUUAUGUUUCCUGACCAUAGACAUGUGUUGUCAUUUGAUUAGUGGGAUCACAUCAUUAAGAGAAUGAUGUGAUUGACAUGACCCAUUCUGUUAGCCCAGCACUUGAUCGUUUAGUAUACUGCUAUUGCUUUCUUCAUGACUUAUACAAAGUUCCUGCAACUAUGAGAUUGUGCAACUCCCGUUUACCGGAAGAACACUUUGUGUGCUACCAAACAUCACAACGUAACUGGGUGAUUAUAAAGGUGCUCUACAGGUGUUUCCGAAGGUACAUGUUGGGUUGGCAUAAUUCGAGAUUAGGAUUUGUCACUCCGAUUGUCGGAGAGGUAUCUCUGGGCCCUCUCGGAAAUACUCAUCACAUAAGCCUUGCAAGCAUGUAACUAAUGAGUUAGUUAUGAGAUGACGUAUUACGAAACGAGUAAAGAGACUUGCCGGUAACGAGAUUGAACUAGGUAUUGGAUACCGACGAUCAAAUCUCGGGCAAGUAACAUACCGAUGACAAAGGGAACAAAGUAUGUUGUUAUGCGGUUUGACCGAUAAAGAUCUUCGUAGAAUAUGUAGGAACCAAUAUGGGCAUCCAGGUCCCGCUAUUGGUUAUUGACCGAGAAUGGUUUUAGGUCAUGACUACAUAGUUCUCAAACCCGUAGGGUCCGCACGCUUAACUUUUUGAUGAUAGUUUUAUUAUGAGUUUAUAAGUUUUGAUGUACCAAAGUUUGUUCGGAGUUCCGGAUGUGAUCACGGAUAUGAUGAGGAGUCUCGGAAUGCUUGAGCCAUAAAGAUUGAUAUAUUGGACGACUAUAUUCGGACACCGGAAAGGUUCCGGGAGUUUUCGGAGAAAACCGGAGUGCCCGGGGGGUUACCGAAACCCCCCGGGAGAGUUAAUGGGCCACAUGGGCCUAGGUGGGAAGAGAAAGGGGCGGCCAGGGUGAGCCGCGCGCCCCCUCUCCCUCUAGUCCGAAUUGGACUAGGAGGGGGGGCGGCGCCCCCUUUCCUUCCCCCCCUCUCUUCCUUCCUUCCCCCUCCUAGUAGGAGUAGGAAAGGAGGAAUCCUACUCCUACUAGGAGGAGGAUUCCUCCUCCCUUGCGCGCCCCAAGGGGCCGGCCGGCCUCCCCCUCCCUCCUUUAUAUACGGGGGCAGGGGGCACCCCAUAGACACACAAGUUGAUCUACGGAUCGUUCCUUAGCCGUGUGCGGUGCCCCCUUCCACCAUAUUCCACCUCGGUCAUAUCGUCGCGAAGCUUAGGCGAAGUCCUGCGCCGGUAGAACAUCAAGAUCGUCACCACGCCGUCGUGCUGACGGAACUCUCCCUCGACACUCGGCUGGAUCGGAGUUCGAGGGACGUCAUCGAGCUGAAUGUGUGCUGAACUCGGAGGCUCCGUACGUUCGGUUCUUGGAUCGGUCGGAUCGUGAAGACGUAUGACUACAUCAACCGCGUUGUCAUAACGCUUCCGCUUACGGUCUACGAGGGUACAUGGACAUACACUCUCCCCUCUCGUUGCUAUGUCAUCACCAUGAUCUUGCGUGUGCGUAGGAAAAUUUUGAAAUUACUACGUUCCCCGACAGUGGUAUCAGAGCCUAGGUUUUAUGCGUUGAUGUUAUAUGCACGAGUAGAACACAAGUGAGUUGUGGACGAUAUAAGUCAUACUGCCUACCAGUGUGUCAUACUUUGGUUCAGCGGUAUUGUGAGAUGAAGCGGCCCGGACCGACAUUACGGGUACGCUUACGCGAGACUAGUUUCACCGUUAUGAGCACUCGUGCUUAAAGGUGGCUGGCGGGUGUCUGUCUCUCUCACUUUAGUUGAACCGAGUGUGGCUACGCCCGGCCCUUGUGAAGGUUAAAACGGAGUCUAUUUGACAAACUAUCGUUGUGGUUUUGAUGCGUAGGUAAGAACGGUUCUUGCUAAGCCCGUAGCAUCCACGUAAAAUUUGCAACAACAAAGUAGAGGACGUCUAACUUGUUUUUGCAGGGCAUGUUGUGAUAUGAUAUGGUCAAGACGUGAUGCUAUAUUUUAUUGUAUGAGAUGAUCAUGUUUUGUAACCGAAGUUAUCGGCAACUGGCUGGAGCCAUAUGGUUGUCGCUUUAUUGUAUGAAAUGCAAACGCCCUGUAAUUGCUUUACUUUAUCUCUAAGCGGUAGCGAUAGUCGUAGAAGCAAUAGAUGGCGUAAACGACAACGAUGCUACGAUGGAGAUCAAGGUGUCGCGCCGGUGACGAUGGUGAUCAUGACGGUGCUUCGAAGAUGGAGAUCACAAGCACAAGAUGAUGAUGGCCAUAUCAUAUCACUUAUAUUGAUUGCAUGUGAUGUUUAUCCUUUAUGCAUCUUAUCUUGCUUUGAUUGACGGUAGCAUUUUAAGAUGAUCUCUCACUAAAAUUAUCAAGUAGUGUUCUCCCUGAGUAUGCACCGUUGCCAAAGUUCAUCGUGCCGAGACACCACGUGAUGAUCGGGUGUGAUAAGCUCUACGUCCAUCUACAACGGGUGCAAGCCAGUUUUGCACACGCAGAAUACUCAGGUUAAACUUGACGAGCCUAGCAUAUGCAGAUAUGGCCUCGGAACACAGAGACCGAAAGGUCGAGCGUGAAUCAUAUAGUAGAUAUGAUCAACAUAAUGAUGUUCACCAUUGAAAACUACUCCAUCUCACGUGAUGAUCGGUUAUGGUUUAGUUGAUUUGGAUCACGUGAUCACUUAGAUGACUAGAGAGAUGUCUGUCUAUGUGGGAGUUCUUAAGUAAUAUGAUUAAUUGAACUUAAAUUUAUCAUGAACUUAGUACCUGAUAGUAUCUUGCUUGUCUAUGUUUGUUUGUAGAUAGAUGGCUCGUGCUGUUGUUCCGUUGAAUUUUAAUGCGUUCCUUGAGAAAGCAAAGUUGAAAGAUGAUGGUAGCAAUUACACGGACUGGGUCCGUAACCUGAGGAUUAUCCUCAUUGUUGCACAGAAGAGUUACGUCCUGGAAGCACCGCUGGGUGCCAGGCCUGCUGCUGAUGCAACUGACGACGUUAAGAACGUCUGGCAGAGCAAAGCUGAUGACUACUCUAUAGUUCAGUGUGCCAUGCUUUACGGCUUAGAACCGGGUCUUCAACGACGUUUUGAACGUCAUGGAGCAUAUGAGAUGUUCCAGGAGUUGAAGUUAAUAUUUCAAGCAAAUGCCCGGAUUGAGAGAUAUGAAGUCUCCAAUAAGUUCUAUAGCUGCAAGAUGGAGGAGAAUAGUUCUGUCAGUGAACAUAUACUCAGAAUGUCUGGGUAUAACAAUCACUUGAUUCAACUGGGAGUUAAUCUUCCUGAUGAUAGUGUCAUUGACAGAAUUCUUCAAUCACUGCCACCAAGCUACAAGAGCUUUGUGAUGAACUAUAAUAUGCAAGGGAUGAACAAGACUAUUCCCGAGCUCUUCGCGAUGCUGAAAGCCGCAGAGGUAGAAAUCAAGAAGGAGCAUCAAGUGUUGAUGGUCAACAAGACCACUAGUUUCAAGAAGAAGGGCAAAGGAAAGAAGAAGGGGAACUUCAAAAAGAACGGCAAGCAAGUUGCUGCUCAAGAGAAGAAACCCAAGUCUGGACCUAAGCCUGAAACUGAGUGCUUCUACUGCAAGCAGACUGGUCACUGGAAGCGGAACUGCCCCAAGUAUUUGGCGGAUAAGAAGGAUGGCAAAGUAAACAAAGGUAUAUGUGAUAUACAUGUUAUUGAUGUGUACCUAACUAGAGCUCGUAGUAGCACCUGGGUAUUUGAUACUGGUUCUGUUGCUAAUAUUUGCAACUCGAAACAGGGACUACGGAAUAAGCGAGCACUGGCCAAGGACGAGGUGACGAUGCGCGUGGAAAACGGUUCCAAAGUCGAUGUGAUCGCGGUCGGCACGCUACCUCUACAUCUACCAUCGGGAUUAGUUUUAGACCUAAAUAAUUGUUAUUUGGUGCCAGCGUUGAGCAUGAACAUUAUAUCUGGAUCUUGUUUGAUGCAAGACGGUUAUUCAUUUAAAUCAGAGAAUAAUGGUUGUUCUAUUUAUAUGAGUAAUAUCUUUUAUGGUCAUGCACCCUUGAAGAGUGGUCUAUUUUUAUUGAAUCUCGAUAGUAGUGAUACACAUAUUCAUAUUGUAGAAGCCAAAAGAUGCAGAGUUGAUAAUGAUAGUGCAACUUAUUUGUGGCACUGCCGUUUGGGUCAUAUCGGUGUACAACGCAUGAAGAAACUCCAUACUGAUGGACUUCUGGAAUCACUUGAUUAUGAAUCACUUGGUACUUGCGAACCGUGCCUUAUGGGCAAGAUGACUAAAACACCGUUCUCCGGAACUAUGGAGAGAGCAACAGAUUUGUUGGAAAUCAUACAUACAGAUGUAUGUGGUCCGAUGAAUGUUGAGGCUCGUGGCGGAUAUCAUUAUUUUCUCACCUUCACUGAUGAUUUAAGCAGAUAUGGGUAUAUCUACUUAAUGAAGUACAAGUCUGAAACAUUUGAAAAGUUCAAAGAAUUUCAGAGUGAAGUAGAAAAUCAUCGUAACAAGAAAAUAAAGUUUCUACGAUCUGACCGUGGAGGAGAAUAUUUGAGUUACGAGUUUGGUUUACAUUUGAAACAAUGCGGAAUAGUUUCGCAACUCACGCCACCUGGAACACCACAACGAAAUGGUGUGUCCAAACGUCGUACUCGUACUUUACUUGAUAUGGUGCGAUCUAUGAUGUCUCUUACCGAUUUACCGCUAUCGUUUUGGGGUUAUGCUUUAGAGACGGCCGCAUUCACGUUAAAUAGGGCACCAUCAAAAUCCGUUGAGAUGACGCCUUAUGAACUGUGGUUUGGCAAGAAACCAAAGUUGUCGUUUCUUAAAGUUUGGGGCUGCGGUACUUAUGUGAAGAAACUUCAACCAGAUAAGCUCGAACCCAAAUCGGAGAAAUGUGUCUUCGUAGGAUACCCAAAGGAGACUAUUGGGUACACCUUCUAUCACAGAUCUGAAGGCAAGAUUUUCGUUGCUAAAUUCGGAUCCUUUCUAGAGAAGGAAUUUCUCUCGAAAGAAGUGAGUGGGAGGAAAGUAGAACUUGAUGAGAUAACUGUAUCUACUCCCUUAUUGGAAGGUAGUUCAUCACGAGAACUGGUUCCCAUGACAACUACACCAAUUAUUGAGGAAGCUAAUAAUAUUGAUCAUGAAACUUCAGAUCAAGUUUCUGCUGAACCUCGUAGGUCUACCAGAGUAAGAUCCGCACCAGAGUGGUACGGUAAUCCUAUUCUGGAAGUCAUGUUACUUGACCAUGAUGAACCUACGAACUAUGAGGAACCGAUGAUGAGCCCAGAUUCCGCAAAAUGGCUAGAGGCCAUGAAAUCUGAGAUGGGAUCCAUGGAUGAAAACAAAGUAUGGACUUUGGUUGACUUGCCCGAUGAUCGGCAAGCCAUUGAGAAUAAAUGGAUCUUUAAGAAGAAGACUGACGCUGAUGGUAAUGUUACUGUCUAUAAAGCUCGACUUGUUGCGAAAGGUUUUCGACAAGUUCAAGGGGUUGACUAUGAUGAGACUUUCUCACCCGUAGCGAUGCUUAAGUCUGUCCGAAUCAUGUUGGCUAUUGCUGCAUUUCAUGAUUAUGAAAUUUGGCAAAUGGAUGUCAAAACUGCAUUCUUGAAUGGAUUUCUAGAAGAAGAGUUGUAUAUGAUGCAGCCGGAAGGUUUUGUUGAUCCAAAAGGUGCUGACAAAGUGUGUAAGCUCCAAUGUUCCAUUUAUGGACUGGUGCAAGCAUCUCGGAGUUGGAAUAAACGUUUUGACAGUGUGAUCAAGGCAUAUGGUUUUAUACAGACUUUUGGAGAAGCCUGUAUUUACAAGAAAGUGAGUGGGAGCUCUGUAGCAUUUCUAGUUUUAUAUGUUGAUGACAUAUUAUUAAUUGGAAAUGAUAUAGAAUUUCUGGAGAGCAUAAAGGGAUACUUGAAUAAAAGUUUUUCAAUGAAAGACCUCGGUGAAGCUGCUUACAUAUUGGGCAUCAAGAUCUAUAGAGAUAGAUCAAGACGCUUAAUAGGACUUUCACAAAGCACAUACCUUGACAAAAUUUUGAAAAAGUUCAAAAUGGAUCAGGCAAAGAAAGGAUUCUUGCCUGUGCUACAAGGUGUGAAGUUGAGUCAAACUCAAUGCCCGACCACAUCAGAAGAUAGAGAGAAAAUGAAAAAUGUUCCCUAUGCUUCAGCCAUAGGCUCUAUCAUGUAUGCAAUGCUGUGUACCAGACUUGACGUAUGCUUAGCAAUAAGCUUGGCAGGAAGGUACCAAAGUAAUCCAGGAGUGGAUCACUGGACAGCGGUCAAGAACAUCCUUAAAUACCUGAAAAGGACUAAGGAUAUAUUUCUCGUAUAUGUAGGUGACAAAGAGCUCGUCGUAAAUGGUUACGUCGAUGCAAGCUUUGACACUGAUCCAGACGAUUCUAAAUCGCAAACCGGAUACGUGUUUAUAUUAAACGGUGGAGCUGUAAGUUGGUGCAGUUCUAAACAAAGCGUCGUGGCGGGAUCUACAUGUGAAGCGGAGUACAUAGCUGCUUCUGAAGCAGCAAAUGAAGGAGUCUGGAUGAAGGAGUUCAUUUCCGAUCUAGGUGUCAUACCUAGUGCAUCGGGACCAAUGAAGAUCUUCUGUGACAAUACAGGUGCAAUUGCUUUGGCAAAGGAAUCCAGAUUUCACAAGAGGACCAAGCACAUCACGAGACGCUUAAAUUCCAUUCGGGACCAAGUCCAAGUGGGAGACAUACAGAUUUGCAAGAUACAUACGGAUCUGAAUAUUGCAGACCCGUUGACUAAGCAUCUCUCACGAGCAAAACAUGAUCAGCACCAAGACUCCAUGGGUGUUAGAAUCAUUAUUGUGUAAUCUAGAUUAUUGACUCUAGUGCAAGUGGGAGACUAAAGGAAAUAUGCCCUAGAGGCAAUAAUAAAGUUAUUAUUUAUUUCCUCAUAUCAUGAUAAAUGUUUAUUAUUCAUGCUAGAAUUGUAUUAACCGGAAACAUGAUACAUGUGUGAAUACAUAGACAAAACUAUAGUCACUAGUAUGCCUCUACUUGACUAGCUCAUUAAUCAAAGAUGGUUAUGUUUCCUGACCAUAGACAUGUGUUGUCAUUUGAUUAGUGGGAUCACAUCAUUAAGAGAAUGAUGUGAUUGACAUGACCCAUUCUGUUAGCCUAGCACUUGAUCGUUUAGUAUACUGCUAUUGCUUUCUUCAUGACUUAUACAAAGUUCCUGCAACUAUGAGAUUGUGCAACUCCCGUUUACCAAAAGAACACUUUGUGUGCUACCAAACGUCACAACGUAACUGGGUGAUUAUAAAGGUUCUCUACAGGUGUUUCCGAAGGUACAUGUUGGGUUGGCAUAAUUCGAGAUUAGGAUUUGUCACUCCGAUUGUCGGAGAGGUAUCUUUGGGCCCUCUCGGUAAUACUCAUCACAUAAGCCUUGCAAGCAUGUAACUAAUGAGUUAGUUAUGAGAUGACGUAUUACGGAACGAGUAAAGAGACUUGCCGGUAACGAGAUUGAACUAGGUAUUGGAUACCAACGAUCAAAUCUCGGGCAAGUAACAUACCGAUGACAAAGGGAACAAAGUAUGUUGUUAUGCGGUUUGACCGAUAAAGAUCUUCAUAGAAUAUGUAGGAACCAAUAUGGGCAUCCAGGUCCCGCUAUUGGUUAUUGACCGAGAAUGGUUUUAGGUCAUGACUACAUAGUUCUCGAACCCGUAGGGUCCGCACGCUUAACGUUUCGAUGAUAGUUUUAUUAUGAGUUUAUAAGUUUUGAUGUACCGAAGUUUGUUCGGAGUCCCAGAUGUGAUCACAGACAUGACGAGGAGUCUUGGAAUGGUCGAGACAUAAAGAUUGAUAUAUUGGACGACUAUAUUCGGACACCGGAAAGGUUCCGGGAGUUUUCGGAGAAAACCGGAGUGCCGGGGGGGUUACCGGAACCCCCCGGGAGAGUUAAUGGGCCACAUGGGCCUAGGUGGGAAGAGAGAGGUGCGGCCAGGGUGGGCCGCGCGCCCCCUCUCCCUCUAGUUCGAAUUGGACUAGGAGGGGGGGCGGCGCCCCCCUUUCCUUCCCCCCCUCUCUUCCUUCCUUCCCCCUCCUAGUAGGAGUAGGAAAGGAGGAAUCCUACUCCUACUAGGAGGAGGAUUCCUCCUCCCUUGGAGCGCCCCAAGGGGCUGGCCGGCCUCCCCCUCCCUCCUUUAUAUACGAGGGCAGGGGGCACCCCAUAGACACACAAGUUGAACUACGGAUCGUUCCUUAGCCGUGUGCGGUGCCCCCUUCCACCAUAUUCCACCUCGGUCAUAUUGUCGCGAAGCUUAGGCGAAGCCCUGCGCCGGUAGAACAUCAAGAUCGUCACCACGCCGUCGUGCUGACGGAACUCUCCCUCGACACUCGGCUGGAUCGGAGUUCGAGGGACGUCAUCGAGCUGAACAUCUGCUGAACUCGGAGGCUCCGUACGUUAGGUGCUUGGAUCGGUCGGAUCGUGAAGACGUACGACUACAUCAACCGCGUUGUCAUAACGCUUCCGCUUACGGUCUACGAGGGUACGUGGACAUACACUCUCCCCUCUCGUUGCUAUUUCAUCACCAUGAUCUUGCUUGUGCGUAGGAAAAUUUUGAAAUUACUACGUUCCCCAACAUCUCUGCCUUCCACUGCAGCAAUUCCAGUACGGUACCGAGCUUUGUGUUGCCAUCUUCGCAAUUGGGGUACAACCCUUUUUUUUGGUCCUCUAGCAUGCGAUCGAACUUCAGCUUCUCCUUUUGACUUUUGCAUUGCGUCCUUGCAUCGACAAUGACCCGGCGGAGAUCAUCAUCAUCGGGCACAUCGUCUGGUUCCUCUUGAUCUUCAGCAGCUUCGCCUGUUGCAGCAUCAUCGUGCACAUCGUCUGGUUCCUCUUGAUCUUCAGGAGCAUCACCGUAUUCAGGGGCACAUAGUUGUCAUCGUACUCUUCUUCACCGUCUUCCAUCAUAACCCCUAUUUCUCCGUGCCUCAUCCAAACAUUAUAGUGUGGCAUGAAACCCUUGUAAAGCAGGUGGGUGUGGAGGAUUUUCCGGUCAGAGUAAGACUUCGUAUUCCCACAUAUAGGACAUGGACAACACAUAAAACCAUUCUGCUUGUUUGCCUCAGCCACUUCGAGAAAAUCAUGCACGCGCUUAAUGUACUCGGAGGUGUGUCUUGAACCGUACAUCCAUUGCCGGUUCAUCUGCGUGCAUUAUAUAAUGAAGUGACCAAAUUAAUAGAAGUUCAUCAUCACAUUAAAACCAAAGUACAUACAUAGUUCUCAUCUAACAACAUAAAGCUCUGCAGAGCAUCUAAAUUAAUUAAACCAUACACUGAAACUAUGUAAAACAUUUCAAUGCGAAAACAAAUGCAACCAUAAUCGCAACCAAUGUAACAACUGAUCCAACGGCAUAAUGAUACCAAGCCUCAGUAUGAAUGGCAUAUUUUCUAAUCUUUCUAAUCUUCAAGCGCAUUGCAUCCAUCUUGAUCUUGUGAUCAUCGACGACAUCCCCAACAUGCAACUCCAAUAUCAUCUUCUCCUCCUCAAUUUUUCUAAUUUUUUCCUUCAAGAAAUUGUUUUCUUCUUCAACUGAAUUUAACCUCUCGACAAUAGGGUCGGUUGGAAUUUCCGGUUCAACAACCUCCUAGAUAAAUAAAAUCUAUGUCACGUUGGUCGGCAUAAUUGUCAUAAACAAUAAAUGAACCAAUAGUUAUGAAAAGAUAAUAUAUACCACAUCCGAAUCAUAGACAGGACGAGGGCCGACGGGGGCGGAUACCAAAACCAUCGCACUAUAUAAGAUGCAAUAAUAAAAGUAAGAAAAUAAUACAAGUAUCUAUCUAAACAUACAAGUAAGAAUAUUUUUCCUUUCAGAAAGAAGAUAAGAACAAGAGGCUCACCACGGUGGUGCCGGCGAUGAGAUCGGCGCGGGUGAUCGACGACGAUGAAGACAAGGACGGGGCGUGACGGACCGCUAAACCUAGACAAAUAUUGAGGAAAAUGGAGCUUGGCGGUCGAGCUUGGAGGGGAGAAAGCUUAAGUAGUGUGGCUCGGGCAUUCCAUCGAACACCUCGUGUGCAUAGGAGGUGAGCUAGAGCACCACAAAGCUCUCCCCUCGCCGGCCACGAAAAACAGAGCACUGGGAGUGCUCUGCUCGCGAGCGGGGGGUAUAUAUAGGCACCACCAUUGGUCCCGGUUGGUCGCACGAACCGGGACUAAAGGUUGGCCUUUGGUCCCGGUUCGUGCCACCAACUGGGACCAAUGGUGGUGGGCCAGGAGCGAGGCCCAUUGGUCCCGGUUCGUCCCUCCAACCGGGACCAAAAGGUCCAGACAAACCGGGACCAAUGGCCCACGUGUUGGGUUUCGUAGUAAUUUCAAAAAAUUUCCUACGCACACGCAAGAUCAUGUGAUGCAUAGCAACGAGGGGAGAGUGUUGUCUACGUACCCAACGCAGACCGACUGCGGAAGCGAUGACACGACGUAGAGGAAGUAGUCGUACGUCUUCACGAUCCAACCGAUCAAGCACCGAAACUACGGCACCUCCGAGUUCGAGCACACGUUCAGCUCGAUGACGAUCCCCGGACUCCGAUCCAGCAAAGUGUCGGGGAAGAGUUCCGUCAGCACGACGGCGUGGUGACGAUCUUGAUGAACUACAGCAGCAGGGCUUCGCCUAAACUCCGCUACAGUAUUAUCGAGGUAUAUGGUGGCAGGGGCACCGCACACGGCUAAGGAAUAGAUCACGUGGAUCAACUUGUGUGUAUAGAGGUGCCCCCUGCCUCCGUAUAUAAAGGAGGAGAGGAGGGGAGGCUGGCCGGCCAAGGAGGGGAGGCGCAGGAGAGUCCUACUCCCUCUGGGAGUAGGAUUCCCCCCAAUCCUAGUCCAACUAGGAUUCCUCGGAGGGGAAGGGAGAGAGGGGGGCCGGCCACCUUCUCCUAGUCCUAAUAGGACUAGGGGAGGGGGAAGUGGCGCAGCCACCUUGGGCUGCCCCUUUCUCCUUUCCACUAAGGCCCAUGAAGGCCCAUAUGGCUCCCGGGGGGUUCCGGUAAUCCUCCCGGUACUCCGGUAAAAUCCCGAUUUCACCCGGAACACUUCCGAUGUCCAAACAUAGGCUUCCAAUAUAUCAAUCUUUAUGUCUCGACCGUUUCGAGACUCCUCGUCAUGUCCAUGAUCACAUCCGGGACUCCAAACAACCUUCGGUACAUCAAAAUGCAUAAACUCAUAAUGUAACUGUCAUCGUAACCUUAAGCGUGCGGACCCUACGGGUUCGAGAACAAUGUAGACAUGACCGAGACACGUCUCCGGUCAAUAACCAAUAGCGGGACCUGGAUGCCCAUAUUGGCUCCUACAUAUUCUACGAAGAUCUUUAUCGGUCAGACCGCAUAACAACAUACGUUGUUCCCUUUGUCAUCGGUACGUUACUUGCCCGAGAUUCGAUCGUCGGUAUCCAAUACCUAGUUCAAUCUCGUCACCGGCAAGUCUCUUUACUCGUUCUAUAAUGCAUCAUCCCGUAACCAACUCAUUGGUCACAUUGCUUGCAAGGCUUAUAAUGAUGUGCAUUACCGAGAGGGCCCAGAGAUACCUCUCCGACAAUCGGAGUGACAAAACCUAAUCUCGAAAUACGCCAACUCAACAUGUACCUUCGGAGACACCUGUAGUACUCCUUUAUAAUCACCCAGUUAAGUUGUGACGUUUGGUAGUACCCAAAGUGUUCCUCCGGUAAACGGGAGUUGCAUAAUCUCAUAGUUACAGGAACAUGUAUAAGUCAUGAAGAAAGCAAUAGCAACAUACUAAACGAUCAAGUGCUAAGCUAACGGAAUGGGUGAAGUCAAUCACAUCAUUCUCCUAAUGAUGUGACCCCGUUAAUCAAAUGACAACUCUUUUGUCCAUGGCUAGGAAACAUAACCAUCUUUGAUAAACGAGCUAGUCAAGUAGAGGCAUACUAGUGACACUAUGUUUGUCUAUGUAUUCACACAUGUAUUAUGUUUCUGGUUAAUACAAUUCUAGCAUGAAUAAUAAACAUUUAUCAUGAAAUAAGGAAAUAAAUAAUAACUUUAUUAUUGCCUCUAGGGCAUAUUUCCUUCAGUCUCCCACUUGCACUAGAGUCAAUAAUCUAGUUCACAUCGUCAUGUGAUUUAACAACAAUAUUCAUAUCUGUAUAUGAUUAACACCCAUAGUUCACAUUAUCAUGUGACCAACACCCAAAGGGUUUACUAGAGUAAAUAAUCUAGUUCACAUCUCUAUGUGAUUAACACCCAAAGAGUACUAAGGUGUGAUCAUGUUUUGCUCGUGAAAGAAGCUUAGUCAAUGGGUCUGUCACAUUCAGAGCCGUAUGCAUUUUGCAAAUAUUUUAUGUCUACAAUGCUCUGCACGGUGCUACUCUAGCAAUUGCUCCCACUUUCAAUAUGUAUCCAGAUUGAGACUUAGAGUCAUCUGGAUCGGUGUGAAAACUUGCACCGAGGUAACUUUUACGACGGGCUCUUUUAUCACCUCCAUAAUCGAGAAAUAUUUCCUUAGUCCUCACUAAGGAUAUUCUUGACCAAUGUCGAGUGAUCUACUCCUAGAUCACUAUUGUACUCCCUUGUCAAAUACUGAGCAAGGUAUACAAUAGUUCUGGUACAUAGCAUAGCAUACUUUAUAGAACCUAUGACUGAGGCAUAGGGAAUGACUUUUCAUUUUUUCUAUUUUCUGUUGUGGUCGGGAUUUGAGUCUUACUCAAUUUCAUACCUUUGCAACACAGGCAAGAACUCUUUCUUUGACUGUUCCAUUUUGAACUAUUUCAAAAUCUUGCCAAGGUAUGUACUCAUUGAAAAUCUUAUCAAGCGUCUUGAUCUAUCUCAAUAUAUCUUGAUGCUCAAUAUGUAAGUAGCUUUUACUGAGGUCUUUUCCUUUUAAAGAACUCCUUUAAAACACUCCUUUAUGCUUUGCAGAAAAAUUCUACAUCAUUUCUGAUCAACAAUAUGUCACUCGUAUAUACUAAUCAGAAAGGCUAUAGUGCUCCCACUCACUUUAUUGUAAAUACAGGCUUCUCAAAAAGUCUGUAUAAAACCAUAUGCUUUGAUCAACUCAUCAAAGCGUAUAUUCCAACUCCGAGAGGCUUGCACCAGUCCAUAGAUGGAUCGCUGGAGCUUGCACAUUUUUUUAGCACCUUUAGGAUUGACAAAACCUUCUGGUUGCAUCAUAUACAACUCUUCUUUAAUAAAUCCAUUAAGGAAUGCAGUUUUGAUAUCCAUUUGCCAGAUUUCAUAAAAUGUGGCAAUUGCUAACAUGAUUCAGACAGACUUAAGAAUCGAUACGAGUGAGAAAAUCUCAUCGUAUUCAACACCUUGAACUUGUUGAAAACCUUUCGCAACAAGUCGAGCUUGGUAGAUAGUAACACUACUAUCAGUGUCCGUCUUCCUCUUGAAGAUCCAUUCAUUUAACAUGGCUUGCUGAUCAUCGAGCAAGUCAAUCAAAGUCCAUACUUUGUUCUCAUACAUGGAUCAUAUCUCAGAUUUUAUGGCCUCGAGCCAUUUCGCGGAAUCUGGGCUCAUCAUCGCUUCUUCAUAGUUCGUAGGUUCAUCAUGAUCUAGUAUCAUGACUUCCAGAAUAGGAUUACCGUACCAUUCUGGUGCGGAUCUUACUCUGGUUGAUCUACGAGGUUCAUCAGUAUCUUGAUCUGAAGUUUCAUGAUCAUUAUCAUUGGCUUCCUCACUAACUGGUGUAGGUGUCACUGAAACAGUUUUCUGUGAUGAACUACUUUCCAGUAAGGGAGCAGGUACAGUUACCUCGUCAAGUUCUACUUUCCUCCCACUCACUUCUUUCGAGAGAAACUCCUUCUCUAGAAAGGAUCCAUUCUUAGCAACGAAUGUCUUGCCUUCGGAUCUGUGAUAGAAGGUGUACCCAAUAGUCUCCUUUGGGUAUCCUAUGAAGACACAUUUCUCCGAUUUGGGUUCGAGCUUAUCAGGUUGAAGCUUUUUCACAUAAGCAUCGCAGCCCCAAACUUUAAGAAACGACAACUUUGGUUUCUUGCCAAACCACAGUUCAUAAGGCGUCGUCUCAACGGAUUUUGAUGGUGCCCUAUUUAACGUGAAUGCGGCCGUCUCUAAAGCAUAUCCCCAAAAUGAUAGCGGUAAAUCAGUAAGAGACAUCAUAGAUCGCACCAUAUCUAGUAAAGUACGAUUACGAUGUUCGGACACACCAUUACGCUGUGGUGUUCCGGGUGGCGUGAGUUGCGAAACUAUUCCACAGUUUUUCAAAUGUACACCAAACUCGUAACUCAAAUAUUCUCCUCCACGAUCAGAUCGUAGAAACUUUAUUUUCUUGUUACGAUGAUUUUCAACUUCACUCUGAAAUUCUUUGAAAUUUUCAAAUGUUUCAGACUUAUGUUUCAUUAAGUAGAUAUACCCAUAUCUGCUUAAAUCAUCUGUGAAGGUGAGAAAAUAACGAUAUCCGCCACGAGCCUCAGUAUUCAUCGGGCCACAUACAUCGGUAUGUAUGAUUUCCAACAAAUCUGUUGCUCUCUCCAUAGUACCGGAGAACGGUGUUUUAGUCAUCUUGCCCAUGAGGCACGGUUCGCAAGUACCAAGUGAUUCAUAAUCAAGUGGUUCCAAAAGUCCAUCAGUAUGGAGUUUCUUCAUGCGCUUUAUACCGAUAUGACCUAAACGACAGUGCCACAAAUAAGUUGCACUUUCAUUAUCAACUCUGCAUCUUUUGGCUUCAACAUUAUGAAUAUGUGUAUUACUACUAUCGAGAUCCAACAAACCAUUUUCAUUGGGUGUAUGACCAUAGAAGGUUUUAUUCAUGUAAACAGAACAACAAUUAUUCUCUAACUUACAUGAAUAACCGUAUUGCAAUAAACAUGAUCAAAUCAUAUUCAUGCUCAACGCAAACACCAAAUAACACUUAUUUAGGUUUAACACUAAUCCCAAAAGUAUAGGGAGUGUGCGAUGAUGAUCAUAUCAAUCUUGGAACUAUUUCCAACACACAUCGUCACUUCACCCUUUAACUAGUCUCUGUUUAUUCUGCAACUCCCGUUUCGAGUUACUAAUCUUAGCAACUGAACUAAUAUCAAAUACUGAGGGGUUGCUAUAAACACUAGUAACGUACACAUCAAUAACAUGUAUAUCAAAUAUACUUAUGUUCACUUUGCCAUCCUUCUUAUCCGCCAAUCACUUGGGGUAGUACCUCUUCCAGUGACCAGUCUCUUUGAAGUAGAAGCACUUAGUCUCAGGCUUAGGACCAGACUUGGGUUUCUUCACUUGAGCAGCAACUUGCUUGCCGUUCUUCUUGAAGUUCCCUUUCUUUCCCUUUGCCCUUUUCUUGAAACUAGUGAUCUUGUUAACCAUCAACACUUGAUGCUCUUUCUUGAUUUCUACCUUCGUUGAUUUCAGCAUCAUGAAGAGCUUGGGAAUCGUUUUCGUCAUCCCUUGCAUACUAUAGUUCAUCACGAAGUUCUAGUAACUUAGUGAUGGUGACUAGAGAAUUCUGUCAAUCACUAUCUUACCUGGAAGAUUAACUCCCACUUGAUUCAAGCGAUUGAAAUACCCAGACAAUCUGAGCACAUGCUCACUAGUUGAGCGAUUCUCCUCCAUCUUUUAGCUAUAGAACUUGUUGGAGACUUCAUAUCUCUCAACUCGGGUAUUUGCUUGAAAUAUUAACUUCAAUUCCUGGAACAUCUCAUAUGGUCCAUGACGUUCAAAACGUCUUUGAAGUCCCGAUUCUAAGCCGUUAAGCAUGGUGCACUAAACUAUCAAGUAGUCAUCAUCUUGAGCUAGCCAGACGUUCAUAACUUCUGCAUCUGCUCCUGCAAUAGGUCUGUCACCUAGCGGUGCAUUAAGGACAUAAUUCUUCUGUGCAGCACUGAGGAUAAACCUCAGAUCACGGAUCGAAUCCGCAUCAUUGCUACUAACAUUUUUCAACACAAUAUUCUCUAGGAACAUAUCAAAAUAAACAUAUGAAAGCAACAACGCGAGCUAUUGAUCUACAACAUAAUUUGCAAAAUACUACUAGGACUAAGUUCAUGAUAAAUUAAAGUUCAAUUAAUCAUAUUACUUAAGAACUCCCACUUAGAUAGACAUCCCUCUAAUCCUCUAAGUGAUCACGUGAUCCAAAUCAACUAAACCAUGUCCGAUCAUCACGUGAGAUGGAGUAGUUUCAAUGGUGAACAUCACUAUGUUGAUCAUAUCUACUAUAUGAUUCACGCUCGACCUUUCGGUCUCUGUGUUCCGAGGCCAUAUCUGUAUAUGCUAGGCUCGUCAAGUAUAACCUGAGUAUUCCGCGCGUGCAACUGUUUUGCACCCGUUGUAUUUGAACGUAGAGCCUAUCACACCCGAUCAUCACGUGGUGUCUCAGCACGACGAACUUUGGCAACGGUGCAUACUCAGGGAGAACACUUCUUGAUAAUUUAGUGAGAGAUCAUCUUAUAAUGCUACCAUCAAUAAAAGCAAGAUAAGAUGCAUAAAAAGAUAAACAUCACAUGCAAUCAAUAUAAGUGAUAUGAUAUGGCCAUCAUCAUCGUGUGCUUGUGAUCUCCAUCUCCGAAGCACCGUCAUGAUCACCAUCGUCACCGGCGCGACACCUUGAUCUCCAUCGUAGCAUCGUUGUCGUCUCGCCAAUCUUAUGCUUCCACGACUAUCACUACUGUUUAGUAAUAAAGUAAAGCAUUACAUCGCGAUUGCAUUGCAUACAAUAAAGCGACAACCAUAUGGCUCCUGCCAGUUGCCGAUAACUCGGUUACAAAACAUGAUCAUCUCAUACAAUAAAAUUCAGCAUCAUGCCUUGACCAUAUCACAUCACAACAUGCCCUGCAAAAACAAGUUAGACGUCCUCUACUUUGUUGUUGCAUGUUUUACGUGGCUGCUACGGGCUUAAGUAAGAACCAAUCUCACCUACGCAUCAAAACCACAACGAUAGUUUGUCAAAUAGACUCCGUUUUAACCUUCUCAAGGACCGGGCGUAGCCAUACUCGGUUCAACUAAAGUUGGAGAGACAGUCGCCCGCAAGCCAUCCAUGUGCAAAGCACGUCGAGGGAACCGGUCUCGCGUAAGCGUACGCGUAAGGUUGGUCCAGGUCGUCUCGUCCAACAAUACCGCCGAACCAAAGUAUGACAUGCUGGUAGGCAGUAUGACUUGUAUCGUCCACAACUCACUUGUGUUCUACUCGUGCAUAUAACAUCAACAUAAAUAACCUAGGCUCGGAUGCCACUGUUGGGUUUCGUAGUAAUUUCAAAAAAUUUCCUACGCACACGCAAGAUCAUGUGAAGCAUAGCAACGAGGGGAGAGUGUUGUCUACGUACCCAACGCAGACCAACUGCGGAAGCGAUGACACGACGUAGAGGAAGUAGUCGUACGUCUUCACGAUCCAACCGAUCAAGCACCGAAACUACGGCACCUCCGAGUUCGAGCACACGUUCAGCUCGAUGACGAUCCCCGGACUCCGAUCCAGCAAAGUGUCGGGGAAGAGUUCCGUCAGCACGACGGCGUGGUGACGAUCUUGAUGAACUACAGCAGCAGGGCUUCGCCUAAACUCCACUACAGUAUUAUCGAGGUAUAUGGUGGCAGGGGGCACCGCACACGACUAAGGAAUAGAUCACGUGGAUCAACUUGUGUGUAUAGAGGUGCCCCCUGCCUCCGUAUAUAAAGGAGGAGAGGAGGGGAGGCUGGCCGGCCAAGGAGGGGAGGCGCAGGAGAGUCCUACUCCCUCUAGGAGUAGGAUUCCCCCCAAUCCUAGUCCAACUAGGAUUCCUCGGAGGGGAAGGGAGAGAGGGGGGCCCGCAGCCACCUUGGGCUGCCCCUUUCUCCUUUCCACUAAGGCCCAUGAAGGCCCAUAUGGCUCCCGGGGGGUUCCGGUAACCCUCCCGGUACUCCGGUAAAAUCCCGAUUUCACCCGGAACACUUCCGAUGUCCAAACAUAGGCUUCCAAUAUAUCAAUCUUUACGUCUUGACCAUUUUGAGACUCCUCGUCAUGUCCGUGAUCACAUCCGGGACUCCGAACAACCUUCGGUACAUCAAAAUGCAUAAACUCAUAAUGUAACUGUCAUCGUAACCUUAAGCGUGCGGACCCUACGGGUUCGAGAACAAUGUAGACAUGACCGAGACACGUCUCCGGUCAAUAACCAAUAGCGGGACCUGGAUGCCCAUAUUGGCUCCUACAUAUUCUACGAAGAUCUUUAUCGGUCAGACCGCAUAACAACAUACGUUGUUCCCUUUGUCAUCGGUAUGUUACUUGCCCGAGAUUCGAUCGUCGGUAUCCAAUACCUAGUUCAAUCUCGUCACCGGCAAGUCUCUUUACUCGUUCUAUAAUGCAUCAUCCCGUAACCAACUCAUUGGUCACAUUGCUUGCAAGGCUUAUAAUGAUGUGCAUUACCGAGAGGGCCCAGAGAUACCUCUCCGACAAUCGGAGUGACAAAACCUAAUCUCGAAAUACGCCAACUCAACAUGUACCUUCGGAGACACCUGUAGUACUCCUUUAUAAUCACCCAGUUACGUUGUGACGUUUGGUAGUACCCAAAGUGUUCCUCCGGUAAACGGGAGUUGCAUAAUCUCAUAGUUACAGAAACAUGUAUAAGUCAUGAAGAAAGCAAUAGCAACAUACUAAACGAUCAAGUGCUAAGCUAACGGAAUGGGUGAAGUCAAUCACAUCAUUCUCCUAAUGAUGCGACCCCGUUAAUCAAAUGACAACUCUUUUGUCCAUGGCUAGGAAACAUAACCAUCUUUGAUAAACGAGCUAGUCAAGUAGAGGCAUACUAGUGACACUAUGUUUGUCUAUGUAUUCACACAUGUAUUAUGUUUCCGGUUAAUACAAUUCUAGCAUGAAUAAUAAACAUUUAUCAUGAAAUAAGGAAAUAAAUAAUAACUUUAUUGUUGCCUCUAGGGCAUAUUUCCUUCACCACGUGGCCCGGCCGGCCCCCGGGGCUCAAGAACCAGGUCCAAUGCCCCCAUUGGUCCCGGUUUUGGAUUGAACCGGGACUAAUGGGCUGGACCGGCCUGGACCAUCGCCCCCUUUUCUACUAGUGUUAGUGCAUGGUGGUUAGUGAAGUUAGUGGAGCAUGGUGUGAGUGCGUGGGUCAUGGUUGAGUGCCAGACUUUGUAUAAAUUGUCAUUUGAGUCAAUGAGAAAAUGUAAGGCCGAGAGGGCCAGUGCAAAGAUGUAGCAUUUGUGGUAGCCAAGGGAGAUUAACUGGGCAAAGCUAUGUGUUCUUCCUUGGUCUAUGCGUGUGUGUGUUCUGUGUGUGUUCUCUCUCUGCGUCCUUGUGUUCAUGGGAGUGUUUUUGAGAGAAGCCAGAAGAGAGAGUUGUGAGAGGCAGCUCGAGGUAGAAGAAGGAGCGGUGCUGCUCCGAGAGGAGGCGGCGCCAACAAUUAUUGACGAAAGGGAUAUUAUAUUGCGCAAGGUAUAAUCAGACGCGUCGGGGAUGGAGCGACUACACACAUAUGGGAUCACAACUGGAUUAUGAGGGAAAGCUAUAAGAGGCCAAUAAAUAAGUUAGUGCAGAUCCCCCCUCAGAAACAUUUUAUGUAUACACGUUAACAUUUCCCAGAUAUAUGAUUAAUAUUUUUAGAAAACUUCUAUUUUUUAUGUGUACUUUUUAUACAUUUUGUAAUAUCAGAAAUAGUUUUUAUAGAAGGUUUAACAUUUUUCAAAUACAUGAUUACCUUUUUGUAAACUUAUAUUGUUUGACGUUUACUUUUUUCCAUAGACAUAGUGAGGGGUUAUAUCUAAGGAAUAGGCCCAAGUACAUGUAGGCACAACCAAAGGCCCAUGUUAAUCAAGGAUGUUCCACAAGACAAAUGGGAAAACACACCGGGGCUAAUGGAGCUACAAGGCCAAGGCAUCGGAUACAAGGGGAGAGUCAACUGUGUACAGUCAGAUUACACAACCCUUAACAGACAAGACUCAUCAGUUGGUCCACUAUAGGAAUCAGGUCAUUUGCCGUCAGCCGAGAACAGAUGCGAAGGCUUUGCCGUGAGCAAGUUGACGACAAACACAAUCAGCAAAGACUAUAUCAGCAAAGAGCUAAUUUGACGUCAACUUUUCAUCGCGCUGAUGACAAAGACUUUGCCGUCAAUUAAACUAUGUGUUUGUCGUCUGUAGAAAAAACACAAAUGGCAAAGAAAUUAAACAAAUGGUCAUUUUAUAAUAAUUUUUCGAAAUGUAUAUAGUGUAUUUUAAAAUGUUAAAUAUGUAUCAAGAAUUAUUUCAUAAAUAUACAGAAGAUGUACAACGUGUAUGAAAAUUAUGUAGACAUCAGAACAUAUUAUAGAAAUGUUAAUCUUGUAUUUAAAAAUGUUAAAUACACAUAAAUAAAAAUGUUUUUGAUGUACAUAAAAAAAUUGUACAUCGUGUGUGAACAAAGUAUGCAUUGAAAAAAAAAUCUUGUUGGAAAGAAAAUCUCGUGCUAUAUACGAAAAUGUAAAAGGUGUAUGAAAAUAAUUAGAUAUAUGCUUAACGAAAAAAAGGAAAGAAGGCGCAAAAAAAUCCGAUCAACACCAAGAUAGGAACAAGAAAACCUGAAGAAGACCAUUGAAAAAAAAGAAAAGAAUACAAGAAAGAGGAAAAAAAACAAAAAAAUGAAGAAGCUGAUGCAGAACAGGGAACUUGGUGAAAACGAAUAAAAAUUGAUGAAAACCGAGAAGAAAAACAAGAAAACUGAAGCAAAAAAAUAAUAAAAAUAUGUAAAAAAAUGAUGAAACAUUGCAAAACACUGAAAUACUAUGAAAACCAAAGGAAGAAAAGACUCAAAAAGAAGAACAUACAGCGAGCGAAUGAACAACAACUGAGUGAACGAGCGACCAUGCGAGAACACGUUAAUUGUCCGGCCCAUACUUGUGGACUCCAGAGGCGAGCCAGAAUAGGCGAGAUAUAGCUAUGACGAUUUGAUACCCUUCACAGCUUCACGAAUGCUAUAUCUCGCUCACAGCGAAAGUAUAUUUUGUCUGGCCUGAAGGUGCAAGAAUAGCAUCAGGUCGCUGUAAGGUUUGUGAUCCUACAAUGAGAGCUCCGAUAAGAUUAAAGUUCAUUUUUCUGACAACCUUUGGUCGUUCGUUCGCGCUCAGGUCGUCCGCUCACUCGAUUCCACGUACUAGUUUGGUUAUGUUGUUUUUUUCAUUUUGUUCUUUUUUUGUUUCUUCACUGGCUUUCUUUGGUUUUUAUAUCGGUUUUCUUUGUUUCCUUCACGUUUUAUUCCUGUUUUCCUUUUUACUGGUUUAUUUAUUCCUUUUUUUCUUUGUUUCUUUCUUGGUUUUCUUUGUUUUUCUUUCUUUUGAUGUCAAUCUUUUUACAUACGCAUUCAACAAUUUCCGUAUACAUCAGAAACAUUUUAUGUAUACACAUUAACAUUUCCCAGAUAUAUGAUUAAUAUUUUUGGAAAACCUCUAUUUUUUAUGUGUACUUUUUGAUACAUUUUGUAUAUAUCAGAAAUAUUUUUUUAGAAGGUUUAACAUUUUUUUAAAUACAUGAUUACCUUUUUGUAAACUUAUAUUGUUUGACGUUUAUUUUUUUCCAUAGACAUAGUGAGGGGUUAUAUCUAAGGAAUAGGCCCAAGUACAUAUAUGGCACAACCAAAGACCCAUGUUAAUCAAGGAUGUGGUCCACAAAACAAAUGGGGAAACACACGGGGGCCAAUGGAGCUACAAGGCCAAAGCAUCGGAUAUAAGGGGAGAAUAAGUGUGUACAGUCGGAUUACACAACACUUGACAGACAAGACUCAUUAGUUGGUCCACUAUAGGAAUCGAGUAAUUUGCCGUCAGCCGAGAACAGACUCGAAGUCUUUGCCGUCAGCAAGUUGAUGACAAACACAGUGAGCAAAGACUAUAUCGGCAAAGAGCUAAUUUGACGUUAACUUUUCAUCCGCUGAUGACAAAGACUUUGCCGUCAAUUAAACUAUGUGUUUGUCGUCUGUAGAAAAAACACAAAUGGCAAAGAAAAGCAUCUUUGCCAUCAGCAACUGAUUCACAUGUGUCGUCAGCCAGACUCGUCUUGUCACUAGCCUCAAACAUCACAGAUGGCAAAGAUUUUUUUUUAUUUUUAAAAUUCCGCGUCGACCACCCUAUCGCUCGUGCAGCCACCGCCUGGCCGCGCUCGCCUCCCUGCUCACAUGCCCUGCCAGCUUGCGCCGUUGCCAUCCGGCAGCGCUCGCCCGACCCUGCUCAUCGCCCGGCCGAGCUCGCCCGCCCUGCUCGGUCGCGUCGUCGGCAGCUGCCCUGCUUGCACACGUACCUGCCCAGCCUUGCUCAUACCGCCGGCCACCCUGCUCGCUAGAGAAAGGAAGGCGAGAGAGGAGGCUCGGGGGAGAAAGAAAAAACAAAGGAGAGAGAGAGGAUGCUACCACUGCCACAUCACCAAUACGCAUGAUCGAUCUGCAAGAUGUGCUCUCUCUUUUGCCGCCUCUGAUGGCAAAGUAUGUCUUUAUCGUCUAUAAUAAGAUUACAAACAGCAAAGUGAGCUCUUUGCCGUCUGUAAAAAAACGGACGACAAACAAACUUUGUUGUCAGCUGCCGACGGCAAAAAGUGCUCUUUACCGCAGCCUCGAUGAGAAGCUGAAGGCAAAGUGCCCCACAGACGGCAAAUUAGUUGAUUCCUGGGUGGUUAUGAGCAAGACAGGAGCAAUAACCCUAUCUACACUCGGUCAUCUGGAAGACAGGAGUAGUCGAACCAUCUAUAGUCGGCUACAUCUGAGGUUACCGUGACCCUUACGAUGCAUUCAUUAUCGCCGUUACUCAAUGGAGUAGUUAAAUACGUCAGUUAGCAAUAAUAAUAGCCACGAACAGUCAAUCAUGCAUGUGACCAUCAAUAGCAUUUAUACCAACCCAUUACGGCACUUCCUCCUAGCACACUCUAUAUAAGCCAGGAGUAGGACAUGAGAGUGAGGGAUGAACUCUCUCACAGUAUAACCUACGCCAAGAGCAGGAACACCACAUGAAUAGAGAUUACCUCCACCAACGUACUCCCAUCCGUUUUAUGUACCGAUCAAUGUAUAUAAUGGCUUCUACAUUCACAUCCCGUAGUAUUGUCAGGAUUAUAUCCACGACAGAAACUAUAUUUUGUUAUACAUCAAGAACAUUUUAUAUAUAAAUAUUUACAAUUUUUUAAAUACAUGAUUAAUAUUUUUUCAAACAUAUAUUUUGUAUGUCUCCUUUUCAUAAUCUUUGAUCCCUGGAAGUUUCAGAUUUUUUCCGAUUUGUUCUCAUUUUUUUAUGAAUUUACUGUUCAUGAGGGUGUAGGGGCACCCAGGAGCUGUUAGGCAUAAUAUUUCUGCUGUUGUUGUCAUCAUCAAGGGGAAUGAGAAGGGUUGAAGUUUUCGUUUUCUUUGAGGGGGAAAUCAGAGUUGGGGGCUGGAAGUGAGUGAUUAGGCCCAACAUAAGCGCUGUGUGUGUGUGUCUCGUCACGGGCACCAAAUUCGAACUGGGCUAUUGUUUUCUGAGAACCCAACGUCACAAGCCCAACCAACAGUCUGCCGAUCUGCAUCUUCCUCUCCUUGUCCAUCCUCCUCGUUGGCCGGACCGCCUCGAGCCACGGCCGCUCCCUGGCGCAGCGUCCUCCCCUUCCUCUCCACCCCCAAAUUCUCUUGUAUCCUCUUCUGAUCUCCUUCCUUACUUCCUCUCGCUGAUGGUCUCCACAAGAAGGUCUCCGAGCUCCUCGGAGGGUUCCGGCUGUACGUCGACGCAGCCUCUCCGACCUCCCCAUGAACAUGAGCUAUCGACCCUGAAAGCCUGUCUCUUCCAUGAUUCGAUUCACAUGAAUUCACGAGCCGCAUGAAUCAUGAAGGUCAUGGAGCAGAAUUCAGUCGUGUAGCCUGACAGUGAUGUACAUUUGUGGCUUUUCUGGCUAAAUAGCUCUGUACCCUAUGUGGAUGCCACUUCAAAUAAUCGUCAAAAUAAUUCUCCUGCACGCGUUAUACAAAUGGCGAAGAAGAAGUUCGCGUGGAACAUUUCGUUUCUUAUUGAUGUCCGAGAGAAAAGCUCCUAGGAAGUUCAUCCGCUCGGUGGAUUAUAAGUUUAAGUUUGUUACAACAUCCAAUCAUCCAUAUAAUCUCUGUGUUUCUUCUGUUUUCUACCAGUCAUAUAUCAUAUGUGCAUCAGAGGAAAAAUGCUUUCAGCAGUCAUGUUGGAGCGCGCAUACCAAGUUCCCACAUUGCAAAUAUGAUCCUAGCCAUUAAUAUGUUUCAUUCCACAUUUUCUUGAUCUAAUUUCUAAAUGAUUGGACAACCUGUUAUAGUCUUAUAGAAUUAUGAGCCGCCAAAUCCACAUUUCUCUUGGUCUAAUUUCUAAAUGAUAAUGUGCAGCAUCUAUCUCCUGGUGAACCUUUUUUUCUUGCGACUGUAUCUCCUGAUGAACCUAGUUUUCUCUAGGUAGCACAAUAAUUGUACUGGUUUGAUGUAAAGGACAUAAAUACAAGGGAAUAAAUUGGAAGCUUAUUUCAAAUUAACUAGCUAGUGGUGUUUGUGAAGUUCAAGAAAAAGCUGGUCUUUUUCUCGACAAAUAAUUUAACAUGCAAAGAAUCAAUAAAUGUAUUUGCAAGAAAGCAAACAUAAUUAACGAUAAAACUGGUUUAUUGUCACUGUAGACAACGGUAGUAGUUGGAACUAGAUACAAACCAAUAAAAAACAAGAUCUCAAAUCUCCAACCAAUAAAGAGUUCAACCCAAAUUUUACAGUAACACCAUUAUAUUCAAAUAGUGAUUAUUCCAACACAUGGAUAAUUAAUUAAGGCACCAGGUUGCCCUUGUGACUAGGAAAGACAAACUUAUGAACUUGCAAGCAUGGCAAUCAGAUCGACAUCCACACAAUGCCAAUAUGAACAUUGUCUUGAUACAACUUUAUUUUUAUUUUAUUUCAGAAUUUAAACAACUAGUAUGGGCGGGUCACACACGACAUUGUGUGACACUUUAUUUGUCACCGCUGCAUCGACAUAUCCAUCGACUAAACAACGGUGAUCCAACUAUAUAUUACUAGAGACCUUUCCUUAUUAGUAGGAACCAACUCCGGUGCCAACACCGAAUGGCACACUAGUGGUGGUUCUAUACAACGGCACAUUGACACGGCACAUCGUUGGCAGGGUACGGAGCGCAAUGGAAGUCAUCACCUCAAGCUGAGCUAUCUGGUGUGGCUGCAAAAAGGUACCUUGUGCCAAUUGUUGUUGUUGAGGUUGUUGCCCGAGUUGUUGUUGUGACUGCUGUUGGGGUUGGGAAACACAUUGGCCCAACUGUUGGGGUUGCUGCUGAGGAGUUUGGAUGGAACCCUGAACCUGUUGUUGUUCUUGCAGGAUGAUGGAGUAGAUGAUAGCACGGAUUGCCUCAUAGCGGGAUUGCUGGGGGAUUUGCGGCAACUGCUGGCAACAUUGUUGUUGCAUCACAUGGCAACUGCUCUGCUGCAACAUUUGCGACCUAGCAAGACUUUGUGGCAUUGCCACAGGGCUGCAUUGCUGCUGGAGGAAUACCUUGCAUGGGUUUAGCUGCUGCAAGAUAGAUGGAUGAACAAAUGGUAUUUGUUGUUGCGGUAGAACUAGUUGUUGUUGUUGCUGCGAAAAUGGUGGUUGUUGCGGUAGACUUGGUUGUUGUUGUUGCAAAAAUGGUGGUUGUUGCUGUAGUACUAUUUGUUGUUGUUGCGAAAACGGUGAUUGUUGCUGUGAAAAUGGUGGUAGUUGUUGCUGUGAAAAUGAUGGUUGUUGCGGUAGAACUGGUUGUUGUUGCUGCGAAAAUGGUGGUUGUUGUUGUGAAAAUGGUGGUUGUUGUUGCUGCGAAAAUGGUGGUUGUUGUUGUGAAAANNNNNNNNNNNNNNNNNNNNNNNNNNNNNNNNNNNNNNNNNNNNNNNNNNNNNNNNNNNNNNNNNNNNNNNNNNNNNNNNNNNNNNNNNNNNNNNNNNNNNNNNNNNNNNNNNNNNNNNNNNNNNNNNNNNNNNNNNNNNNNNNNNNNNNNNNNNNNNNNNNNNNNNNNNNNNNNNNNNNNNNNNNNNNNNNNNNNNNNNNNNNUGGUUGUUGUUGCUGCGAUAAUGGUUGUUGUUGUUGCUGCGAAAAUGGUGGUUGUUGUUGUGAAAAUGGUGGUUGUUGUUGCUGCGAUAAUGGUUGUUGUUGUUGUUGCUGUGAACAUGGUUGCUGUUGUGAAAAUGGUUGUGGUUGUUGUUGGAUGGGUUGUUGUUGUUGGUGGUGCGAUAAUGUUUGUUGUGGUGGUAAUGGUUGUUGCUGCGAUGGUCUCUCCAAACCAGGGAUGUGGCUAUUCUCCAUUUGUGCAAUGGCACUUGUCGCCACAAUGGCGAGGAGAGCAAAGAUGAGGAAGGUCUUCAUGGUGGAUUGGUGUUAACCAGUGUUGCUUGGUUUUGAUGCUUGUGCUUGUGAUGAUCUUUAUACUUCAUGCCUAUUUAUAGUAGCC
rnacentral:lncRNA from 1 species